rnacentral:lncRNA from 1 species
ACAAGAGUGGUUGUAUUCAUUAUAAUUGUCAUUUAUGUGUUGUCUUUGAUUUUGGUUGGCUCGGGCACAACACCUAGUACAAAUUAUCGAUUGUCUUAGGUAUAACGCUUGGUACUAGGAAUCUAAUGGCAGUCUUGGGUACCAUGCCUGGUACAAGUUUCAUUAUUGUUGGGUCAUGUACCAUGUCUGGUAUAUGGUUGAUUGAUUUGUUGUGUGUUGGUUCCAUGAUUGAACCGGGCUUAUUCAAUUGUGGUGAUGAUGGACAUGUUUCAGGUAGUGGUUAAGUUAGGUUGAUGAUUGAGAGUCCUGCGUAUGUUUACUAACAUAAGUUACCUAUGUAUUGUCCUAGUUUACUGAGUUACAAUUGCUUGUUCAUAUUUUAUAUAUCGGGAGCUAUAUUAUGAUCCUACCGUUAUACCAUUAUUCUUAUGUACUGAUAUUGCACUUGUUCUUUCUUUGUUGAUUACAAGACAUAUUCCGGUGAUAGCUACACAAUCUCACAUGUGAAUCCCAUGUUCCCUGAAUCCAAGGGUGAGAUACUUCUUUCAGGUUGUUGUGGGUUUAUACUCUCUUUGUAGUUCACCGUUUGAACUUAGACUCCUUUUAUUUUGGGGUUGCAUCUUUGUAAUCUAGACUAUGUAGAUGUUCUGGUAACACGACUUUCAGAUUCUAGGGGGAAUAUUUUCGCAAACAUUUUUGAUAACGAUUUUUAGUUAAGAAACUUUAUUUAAUUGAUGAAAAUGUUAUUUAGAUAUUUAAUUGUUUCUGGGUUGGCUUGAGUAAUUGGUUUCUGGGUUGGCUUGAGUAAUCAAACUUUAUUUAAUUGAUGAAAACUUUUUUUAUUUAGAUUUUAGAUAAAAUCAUAACUUUUUUUAUUUUUCAAAAAUAGUAUUUUUCUAAUUUUCUUCCAUGAUUAGAAAAAAAAUAAGACUAACAAAUUAAAAUGGAGGGAGUAAGGGUUAAGACGAAUUCAAUAUACUCUCUCAAAAUGCGAUUAUAUAUUUGUAUACAAAAUAUUUAAAGUAAAAUAAAUUAAAAAUAUGUAUGUGUGUGUGAAAUUUAAUACAAUGGAAUUCUAGAUAUUCCCCUAAUCAAUGAAAUUUGCUGUACCUAAAUAUAAAACUUUUUUAUUUAACCCCAGUCAAUAUCAUUUAUUAUACCUAAUUAAUACAAUUAGUUAUUCGGUAAUUAAAGCUUGAAAAAUUAAUUUACAGAUAGAGUAGAAUUAAGUUCUGAGCACUAUAAAUAAGACCUUUAGGACCCCUUAAUGUUAUAUUCAUUUUUAAGAACUUUCAAUUGAUAUUCUGUCAAAUCUUCACUCUUCGAUUUUCUAUUAGUUUUUCGAUUUCACAAUGUAAGAUCAUUUCUUUCUCAAUUGUUUGUAUUUAAUUUGGAGUAUUAUAAUACCACUUUCAAUUUUCGACACCAACUACCUUUAUCACCACCCACCACCCUUAUUCACCAUAGAUACUGCACAACUAGUGCACAACUCUUCAACAAUUCAUGAUCGUUAUCAAUAACUACCCACUAUCAUCAUCACUGAUCAUUGUUACAAUUUUUAAUAUUUUUAUUUUAUAAUAUAUAAUAUUUAUAAAUAACUAUAUAUAUAUAUUAAGAAACAAUGAUUUUUUUUUAUAUAUUCAGAUUUAGAGAAUUUUAAAUUUUAAUAUAUUCACUUGGAGAAUAAACGCGAGAUCUACAUUCAUCAAAAUUAACAAUUUUUUUGGCUAAUUAUUUAGGUCUCAAAGCAAUGUUAAUGCAAAAGGUAAUCAAACCUUCAAAACUAUGUUGCAGGAAGCUAUGUCGAGCAGGUAUUAAUUAUUUACUUUUUUGUGUAAAAAAGUUUGUUUAGAUUUCCCCAAAAAAAAUUGUUUACAUGUUCAAACAUUUAUUUAAUUGAAAUGCUUCUUGUAGAAAAUUUGUUUUUUAAUACAUAAUUAUUUUAAAUAUUUAGAGAUACUAUACAUUAUUUUUUUUAUAAAUGGAAAUAUCAUACACAUCAUUGUCAACAUGUGUGCUUUUCCGAACUAAUACUGAAUUGAGGAUAAUUUUGUUAUUUAAUAGAUUUUUACUUGAUUUUAUUAUUUAUCUGUUUUAACAAAUCAAGACAAGUUUGUUAUUUUCAUUCCAUACUACUUUUAUCAUUGAAUAACUAUAUAAAAUAAUAAUAGUCAAACUUAAAAUUUUUGAAACAAAAUUCAUGAAGUUAAUUUAAUAACAAUAUUUUUUUCAAAUAGAUUUAAUAAUGGAUUCUAUUAAAUAUUUUUUUUAUAAGUGUUGUUGCAUUAGACGAGACACUAUAAAAUUGUUAACACAUAUAAGUAUUACUUUUUGUUAAAAAAAUUAGUUCAUGCUAAUUUGUGCAACCUCUUACGUAAUAGCUCCGACCAACAAAAUUUUGAAACAAAAUAAUAAAAAAACUAUCUGUUUUAAAUAGUUAACAUAAUAUUAUUAGGCACCUGCACAACACGUGCUAUCCUUUACUAGCUUGCAUAUACAUGAAAAAGUUGUGCAUACACAUUUUGGUAGCAUCACGACCUUAUAUUCUUUGUUAUAAUAAUAAUAAUAAUAAUAAUAAUAAUAAUAAUAAUAAUAAUAAUAAUAAUAAUAAUAAUAAUAAUAAUAAUAAUAAUAAUAAACUGUGUAGAUUUCUUUCAACUAAAAGUGUAAGGGAUACUUUUGAAUAAAUUGUUAUUUAUAAUUUAAAAUAUAGAUUAAUAGUCUAAAACUUGAUUAAUAUCAAGUGUUAUGUUAAUCCAUAUUUAUUAUUAUUUUAUGGCCUAAAUGAAAAAAAUAGAAAUAAUAUGUUAUUAUUUCCAUUUAUAUAUAGAUGGAGCUUUCUACUAGCAUUUAUUAUUAAUUAACAUAUCUUUCUAUUUUUACUUGAAUUUGUCUAUUUACAAUCUAAUUAAAUAUAUUUUUUUUCUUAGGUAUGAGAGUAUUGAGCUUUCAAAGGUAUAUUUCUUUGACCUUUUUUUUAAUGUUUUAUUUUAUAUUUUUUACUUAACCAUCAUUUAUUUUUUAUAUAUAGGAAAAGAAUGUGAACCCCAAUAAGGGUUUUGAUCCUCAAGUGCCAAAAAGUUCAAAAAGUCAUAAACCAAGGGUAUGUGAUGAUAAAUUAUUAUUAUUAUUAUUAUUAUUAUUAUUAUUAUUAUUAUUAUUAUUAUUAUUAUUAUUAUUAUUAUUAUUAUUAUUAUUAUUAUUAUUAUUAUUAUUAUUAUUAUUAUUAUUAUUAUUAUUAUUAUUAUUAUUAUUAUUAUUAUUAUUAUUAUUAUUAUUAUUAUUAUUAUUAUUAUUAUUAUUAUUAUUAUUAUUAUUAUUAUUAUUAUUAUUAUUAUUAUUAUUAUUAUUAUUAUUAUUAUUAUUAUUAUUAUUAUUAUUAUUAUUAUUAUUAUUAUUAUUAUUAUUAUUAUUAUUAUUAUUAUUAUUAUUAUUAUUAUUAUUAUUAUUAUUAUUAUUAUUAUUAUUAUUAUUAUUAUUAUUAUUAUUAUUAUUAUUAUUAUUAUUAUUAUUAUUAUUAUUAUUAUUAUUAUUAUUAUUAUUAUUAUUAUUAUUAUUAUUAUUAUUAUUAUUAUUAUUAUUAUUAUUAUUAUUAUUAUUAUUAUUAUUAUUAUUAUUAUUAUUAUUAUUAUUAUUAUUAUUAUUAUUAUUAUUAUUAUUAUUAUUAUUAUUAUUAUUAUUAUUAUUAUUAUUAUUAUUAUUAUUGUGUUAUUAUUGUUAUUACUACGUAAAUAAAUGCAGGCUCGCUAUCCAUACGGUAGAAUGCCAAUAAUGCAUUUUUGUUCUAAUGUAAGUGCAUAUUUUAUUCCUAAUUUAUUUUUAGUAUUUUAAAUGGGCUUAUAUUUAAAUAAAAUCAAUUUUCAAUAGAUUUGUAUAUAAUGUUUCUAAACUGGUACAAUUGUAUAUUAUUUUCAAUUUAAAUGAUAUUACUAUAGAGAGGAGUUGUUGAGCAAGAAAAUGGACAUAAAAAGAGGGAGCAUCCAUGGCUGACCAGGUAAUAUUCCUUUUUAUGGUAAUUUUGUUUUGAAAAUGUUUCUUAAGAUUUAAAAUCUAUUUAUUUAUUUUUUAAAAUAAAAUUUGCAAAAAUAUAAUUGUACCUUACAUAAAUAUGUCUUUUUAGUAAUUACUUGACAACUUGUGAAAUAAAAUGAAUUACAAAAGAAAUUAAAUCAAGAAUUCAAUUUGUAAGAAACAAAAAUACAAUAAUGCAUUUGUGAAAAUACUAAUAAUAACUGUUGAUUUGAAAUGUAGUCAUAACCCUAUUAACAAUCGAUUGUACCAUCCAAGCUUUGCUGCCAAAGGUCUACCAGUGGACCCUUACUUACGUAUGCUUAAGGAGAAUCCAGACUUUCGUAAGUUAACAAUUUUAAAUAUAAUUAUAAACCAAAUUAAAGAAUAUUAUUGUAUGGUUAUUUAUUAUAUUUAAUUUUUAUUCUUACCAGUUAAAAUUGCAAGCAAGUCUGAGGCUGAUAGUAAGAAUAAAGUGGUGAUGGAUUUGAACAAUUGAGGAAUAUUGUGCUGGUGUUGGAUGUUAUAUCUUAGUAGUGCAAAUUAUGUUAUUGAAUAAAUCCUCUGAGAAUAUUGUGGAACAUUCUGAAUAUUCUUGGUGUUGUCUUUUCAUUUUGUCCUUUUAGUUUCAUAGAUAGAGAAGUGUUGAACUUCUUUAUUCAAGUUUGGAUUUUGCAGUUUCAAUUUGUUGUCAAUUUAAAAUAAUCUAAGUUGUAUUUCUAGGUAAAAAUCUUCAUGUUUAAAUACAAACAUCAUAUUUCUUAUUUCAAACAUCCUUUGUUAUGAUUUACUUUAUUAAUCAGAAGUGUUUCCUCCGUUUUAAUCUACUUGUCUUAGUUAUUACUCUCUUAGUUUCAGUUUGUUUAUUUUUAACUUGACACAGUUUAAAUAAGUAAAGAGAAUUUAUUAAUCUUGUAAUCUUAAAUGAUAUGUAGAAUGUAUCAAAAUGGAUUUUAAUUUCGUGAUCUUAAAAAUAUCAUGUGAAAAGUUAAAAUUUUGAAAAUUGUCAAAAAAGAAAAGAAAAACUCAUUUUCGAACGGACUAAUAAGAAAAGUAAACAAACAAAUAGAAACAAAGAGUGUUUUUGGAUAGUAAGAGAAUAUAUAUAUAUAUAUAAAUUCAGUAAAAUUUGUCUCAUAUUUUUAAACUAAGGAAAAUACUUUCAUAAUCUCAUCAGUUGAAUUUUUAGACAAAAUGAGAUUUCUUAUUUGAGACUUGAGCCUAUUUUGGGUAUUUUUGGGGUAAGAAACUUUUAAUUUAUUUUAUUUUAUGUCCAACUAGUAUGAAAAAUUUAGAUAUAAAUCAUUUCUUAUCUAGAACAAAUAUAUAAUUAAAUUACAUAUUGUAUUUUCUUUAAAGAAAUCAUCUUUGCAGUAAAUGUUUUUCAAAAUAUUCAUUUCAAAUGGUGCUAGCUCCAAAGGUUAUUUAGCAAGGAAGUCUUUAGGCAUUUAACAAUUAAAUUUUUUUUGAAAUGUUUCUUUUAAUCUCAAAUAGUAUAUAUGUAAUGCACGAAUUUAUUAAAGAGUUACCUCUUCUUACAAUCAAGUUUAAUUACUGCUAUACAGGUUUAGAGAGGCUUAAACAAAAGUUUUCCCCUUUAUUCAAAAGUUUGGAGAUCUGAUCAUAUAUAUAUAUUAACUUGUUACUUUUUCAAUAUUUAGCUAACGAAUAUUUUCAAACAAAAAUCUUUUAAUUAAGCUAAGUCUGACCGGUAAUUAUUUUUGGUGGAUCUUAAAGGAUGAUUAGCUCCUUCCCUUUAGGAUAACUAGAACUCUUACCUAGAAUCACAUAAGCUAAGUAGAUCACUCAUUGAAGUUAAUAGAAGCAUAACUUAGUAAAAUAUUUAGGUGUCCUAAUUCAUCUUUAAAUGGCGACUCCUUAAAUUAAACUAUGGUGACUGAUUGGAGAGUUGGGCUUUUGGAACUAGUAGCCUUAACUCAAACGAGAUGAUAUACAUACAUACAUACAUACAAACAAACAUACAUACACCGAUCUAUAGGCAUUGAAGUACUACCGUUUCAUUCGAUGACUGGUUCAUUCAGAAACUGAAACUUAAGGACUCUAGUACUACAGUCAACUAAAGCAUAAUAAGUGUGUAGUCAAUCCAUGUCGAGAAGAUAUCAAAAUUAAUCAUGUCUAACUCUACUAGAUCAAUGGAGGUGAUUUUCUAAAAGAUACAAACUGGCAAUUUCUGUAUACUUGUUUAGCUAUAACUGUGUAACACCCCAUAAAUUUUUUGAACUAAGACUCAAACCUUCUUCGUUGUGAGUAGGAUUUUACCAAGGAAUUUAAAAUUUCAUAAGAAUUAAGGCCAGGUUACUAGAUAUAGCACCUUGAGUUCCAAAAAGAAUUAAAGAGAAUUCAUUCAAGUCAUUCUUUAGUUCUUUUAAGUUUUGGGUCAACUUCAAGCAACCAUAAAUUUCAUGAUGAUUUAGGAGACCCACAAGAUAUCAAAUGAAAUAUCUCUGAGUCCUCUUUCCAACGCCACUGAGUUUGCUAAUUUUAGAGCUCGUAUGAUGGAGUUAUGCCCUUUUGAAGUCAGGCUGUCCAUUUAAGAAAAUUACCCGAAAAUAGGAGGGGUAUUUUAGUCUUUUCCUUACCCCCACUUAUUCUAAACGCGAAUUACACCCAAUUAAGGGUUUAAAGUUAUUAGAAUCAGUUUCAUUCAUCCCCAAAAGCGUUUAGGGUUUUAGAGAGAAGAUUCAAGAGGAGAAAAAGUUCAAAGUUUUAAGCAUUUGUUCAAGAAAUUCAAGAUUUCGCCAAGAACCUAGUUCUUUGAGGUAUGUAAGCUUUCAUAGUGUUGAGUUUAUUCAUCCACACGCCAAUCAUGAGUUUAUUUUGCGAAUCUAUCCAAAAAUAUUGAGCAAUUUACUUUCUUGACGAGUUCUUGAUAAGUGUUCUUGAUGUUUCCUUAUCGAUUAAGUUUUGAUGUAAGAUUCUACUUGAAUCAACUUCAAACUACCAUAUCUCUUAGAAUAUAAAGAGUUACGUGACCCAUAAACUAUCAAAUUGAAGCUAUUUGAAUCUAUUUUCCAAUUCCACCAAUUUUUCGUCAAUCCAAUUUCUGAGUAUAGUGUUAGGACCAUUUUAGUAACCUGAUACAGUGCAGCUACGAAUUAGCCAACGGGAAAACAUUAAAAGGGUCAUUUUUGUCUUUUUACCUCCAAGAAAACCCUAAACAAAUUUCUUGACUAAUAAAAGGCUCAAAACAAUCAGAUUUUCAUCUUUUAAUCCAUCAUUUUCUUCUCUCUCAAAUCCUAGGGCAAAACCCUCAGGAAAAAUCAAAGUAGAAGACUCCAUUCAAGAUUCUUUCAAUCUUUUUCAAGAUUCUUCUUCAAGGCAAGUCUUUCUCCAAGAAUUUCAUUCUUUUCAACUCAGAUUUCUCCAUAUAAUUAUGAAUCACUAAUGAAAAUCAUAAUUCUUGGCCAUAGAGAUUUCAAGAAAAUAAUUCAAGAAUCUCAAGAAAGGUUUUCUUGAUCGUUUACCUUCAAGCUAGGGUUUCAAGGCUUCUAAUCAAGUUCUUCUUCAAGAUUCGUCAAGAUUCUUCAAGAACCUUGUUCUUCCAGGUAAGUAAGGUUAUCAUAGUGUUGGAGUAGUUCACCCUCACACCCUACAUCUACUUUAAAAUCAGUAAAACAAAAAUCUUGGAUUCUACCCCUAGAUUUGAGUAUUCUUAAGUUGAGAUUUGAGUUCUUUAUUUUUUUUGAAAUUCUAUUCCUAAGUAUUGAGUCUCUAUAUUUUUAUUUAGAUCCUUGAGUUGAUUUGUUCAUGUCUAUAAUUCAGCAUGAACCCUAUUUUGAGUUUUAAAUCUUGAAAAGUUUUUCAAAACCAACACUUGAGUUUUAAACUGAGUUUUUGAGGAAGUAAAGAUGAGUUUUUAUAAAAAGUUUAAAGGUUCUAUUUAUAAAGACUCAAGAGUUUCUGUUGUUAUUUUAUUCAUAUAUAUACAUAUACAUAUGUAGCUAUGUUAAUUAUUGAACUUGAAAGAUAAGUUCAUAAGUGCAUGUUUUCAAGAAGGUAAACACGUCUCAUGUUUUGAAAAGUAUUUCAAGUAAUGUAAGAAGUCCAUUCUUUGUAAUGGGUGAAUUGAGAACAAAGUUAUAUUAAUUAUUUUGGGAGUAGUAUCGAGCACCGAGUUGGGUUAGUGUCUUUUAUGAUUCAGAAGUCCCAUAGAAUUACGUAACCACUUAUAGAUGGAUCCAUAGUCACGAUAUCAUCCUAUACCCCAGACAAGGUAUAGGAUGGGCCCUUGCAACGUGCGGCGGGACGUUGUAUCAUUGCUAGACUCAUGGUAAUGGUUGUCGGUUAGAGAAACUCCCCACAAGUAAAGUAUAUUAUUUUCAUGUUGCUUUUACUGUAUAUUUUAUUGUAAAGCUUAAAUGGUUUUCACUUCAUGUUCAUGUAUUGAUUUUGUUGAGUUGUUUCCAGUCAUUCAGUUCAGUUAUUUGUUUGAUCAGUCAUAUUACAUUCUCGUACAUUCCAUGUACUAUUGUCAUUCGACUUGCAUCCUUUUAUGAUGCAGAUAUAGGUGCUCAUGCUUAUCAAUAAGCGCUUCAUUGAGAUCACUCUACACUCCAGUUAGCUUUGGUGAGCCUCCUUGUAUUCUAGAGGACUUCGCAGUUACUUUCCAGUUAGUAGUUUUGAGGUGUCGUGGGUCUUGUCCCGACAUCAUUUCUUAAUAGUAGAGGUUUCAUAGAUAGAUAGUUUUGGAGAGUCUUUCAGUUUUCAGAUAUUUUAUUUAAACUUAUGUUUCAAACUAAGUAUAUUCAGUAAGGUUUUGAGAUUUAGUAAACUGUUUUUAAAUGUUUCUUUCAGUUUGAUGCUUAUGUAUGCUUGAGGUAGUCUUCCGCUUGUAGUCAAUAGGAUAAGGGUUCUCUUGGGACCAGAAAUGGUUCUCGAGCGUCGGCCACGUCUAGGAUGUAGGCUUGGGUCGUGACAAACUUGGUAUUAGAGCACAUAGUUCAAAUGUCCUAGGGUGUCUAUGAAGUCGUGUCAGCAGGAUCUUAUUUAUGGUUGUGAGGGCCCCACUUCUAUAAAUAAGGGACUACAAACAUUUUAGAAAAGUUUCCUUUCUUUCAUACUCUAAAUCGUGCAAUAGAGCUAUGUCAUAGAGACUUAUUUUAACUUGUGUGUUCUCAUAUCCAUUCGACUACCCCUCAUACUAGGGGUGGUUGAAAAGCAAAGUUAGUUCUUUAUCAAUGAAUUGCUUUUAGCAAAGUAUUGAAGAAGUCGUGAGACUCCAGAGAGGCUUGAGAGAAACUUGGGAGUGAGUUAAGUAUUGAGUUUGAGAAAAUGCACUCAUAUUUAUGUGAAUCGUGCAUAUGAGCUAAAAGCGAGUUGUAAUCUCUUCUCUAAGCCCUGUUUUAACUGAGAUACUUAUGAGGAAGUAUGUUUAGCGUUGGGUAGUAUUCUCAUCCAAAAAGGUAGCAUGAGUUACGAAAUUAUGAGCAGUAGUGGUGAAGGUUCCCAAAGUUAGAGGAAAGUAUGCAGAGGUUCAGUAAUCAAAGGAAAAUAGAUAGUGAUGGGGCAAAAUUAUAUUAUUGCAAUCAUGCACCCAUUCAGUUAUAAGUGAUGAGUUUCUUUAUGAGUGGAAUAAGGAAUAAUAAUGUUGUAGAGAGUUCUCGAUAGAAGAAAGAGGAAUAGUUACUAGUCAUAAUGAGAUAGAGUAUAUUUUAACCAAAAUAGAGUUGAUGUCAAUGUGUCAUUGCGUUAUAGGAGACUAAAUUCAUGUGUUGAAUAAGAGAACAUAGUAUUCAUGAAGUGGUAGAUCAAAUCUAGGCUUAUGAUUUGUUUGAGAGGGUCAUGAUAUUCAGAAAGUUAUAGAACUUAUUGAGUAAUGAGGUAUUAUAAGUUGGCAAAUAGUACUUAAGAUGUGAAAAGGGGGAUGUAGACCAAUUUAGAAAUGAUGGAAUAGGUCCAUAGCUUUCAAGUGUCAACUUUAUACCUAAGGGGGAGAUGAUAAGAUGAGAAAUCAAGUCAAGUGUUGAGAAUAAGAUAGUAAUGAGCUCAAAAGAGUAUGGGAGAUAUCUUCUCAGAGAUCUUUUAGUAGUGGAGUGAUGAUAAAAGAAGAAGAUUAAUGUUCUCAUCAUGAUAAUGAUGGUGUGAUAAUUCAACCCAAGGUUAUAAAUAAAGAGGAAGAGGAGUAUGAGGUUUUAGUAUGAGAAAUAGUUAAAUGAGAGCCCUUAGUUGGUUUCGAGUGGUAAUGCGAGAAAAUCUAGUUGGUAUGGCAGGGAUGAUGAGAGAAUGAAAACUUCUUAGGAAGUUAGUUAGUAAGAGUCCAUAGAGAUGUUAGACUACUAAGCUUGAAUGUGGUGUUGUUAAACAUUAGGUGGUUAUUGAUAUGAGUCCAAUGUUGAUUAAAUGUGGUGGGAAAGAGUAAUAUUCUUGGGACCUAUCGAGGAAUAGAACCGGAACCUUAGGAUUUGGGUUAACCUUGAAUACAACAAGAGCGUGCCAUUAGACUCAGACCUUGGUAAGAGAAGUCAUGUACCUUUGUGGGAGCUAUGAGUUGCAGCCAAUGAGGCAUGAUAUUCCUAUUCUUACUUCAUGCCCAAAUUUCCUUUGAUCCAGAUAAGGUAAGUUCUGAGAGAACGUGACUAUGUUCACAACAACAUCGUUCUUUAUUUAGGUGCUAUAGGAAGUCCCAACUCUUGGUACGAAUUAGUCUAGCCUGUGUUAGUAGGCAAGUUUAUGAUUCAAAAGACAUAGUGAGAGUAACCCCGUUCCAUAACCAGUCUAGCCAUUAUUCGAGGACAAAUGAUCCCAAGGGAGAGAUAAUGUAACACCACAUAAUUUUUUUGAACUAAAACUCAAACCUUCUUCGUUGUGAGUUUUACCAAGGAAUUUAAAAUUUCUUAAGCAUUAAGGUCAGAUCACGAGAUAUAGCACCUUGAGUUCCAAAAUGAAUUAAAGAGAAUUUAUUCAAUUCAUUCCUUAGUUCUUUAUGUCACACCCUGAGGCUACCCCCUAGAUGCAAACACGGGACCUAGGAUCACGAGUGACCCCAAGCUAAACCUGCUGGCAUAAUCAUAAGCAUACUAAAGAUAAAAUGAAGCAAUAAAUACUACGCAGAAGCUAAAUCAUAUAAAUAAUCUGAAAUGAUGGAGGAUACCUAUAUACUAAAUAUGAAUAUAAGAAACUGAGAGUUUGAAUACAAAUGAGAAGUCAAACUCUAACACUAAAGCUGAAACUAACUAUGUCUGAAAUAAGCCUCUAAAUUGAUUAGAAAUGAUGGGACAUGCCUCAGCUAGAUCUAGCAAAACUGAAACUAAAACUACAAGCAAUAAGAUAAUCAUGUCACUAGUCCUCAAAGAAUAAGGACUCACCACUAAUGAUGAUGAACUAAAGAUCGGGAACCGAUCUAUGCGUGAUAUGACUGCUAAGGACCUAAACCUACAUCACGAGAAGAUGUAGUGUAGAGUAUGCGUCAGUACUUGAAAGGUACUGAGCAUGCAUGAUAAAGUAAAGCUGAAUAGUAACAUAACUGAACAACCAUUAAAGCAAUGAUAUAAUCUGAAUAUGAUAAGGAUACUAUAAAUACUGAACAUAGCUAAACUGAAUGCAAUGACCAAGUUUAUUACAUGCUGAGACUAAAUAAUAAACUGUACUGAUAACAUGGUCAAUGCAAUAGAAUCUGACUGAACUGUAAGGGAGCUAGUAAUAACCGACAUAAAACCACAUGAGCUAAAUAUGGAGUCUGAUGUAUAUGCCCCAUCAAGAAGACCCAAUAUACCCUGCCAGAGGUAUAGAGGCAUGCUGGCGUGAUCACUAAAAUGAUGCCCAUGGAGGGGACUUACAACCUACGGGGCACGUAGUUCUGGGACUUGAGGGUGACUGACCCUAGUCCACUCAGUAUUAAGCUUCCCAUAUGAUUAAGUAAUCAACACUUUAUGACUGAAAUGUUGUAAUACUGGAUAGCUCAAAAUACUGACAUGCAAACUGAGAAUGCAACAUUAAUAUACUGAUAAUAAUGCAUUCGAAAACUGAGGCAUGUUAAUAUAUGGCUAAAUUUACUGACCUAGCAUGUGUAAUUCCUAAACAAAAAGAACUACAUAGCUAGGGUUCUGAGUUUAUGCAUGAACCUGGGAAAAACGAUACUGAAUUCAUGAUAAUACGAUUUGGAUCAUUCUAACAGCUAAAACCUAAUAAUUCUAACAGUCAAGAAACCCUAAGUCUAGAUAAUAUUAAGGGAAUCAAGAUUCUGACUGAAAUCUAGGGACCUAAUGGGCGAAAGGAACCCACUAGUGAAAUCUCACAUACCUAGUGACGAAUUCCACGGAGAAAUCUUUUGAUUUUGGGGCUGAAACUGAUGGAACCUUGCUGCGUUCUUGAACCAGGGUUCUUGACCACUUUCUCCUCUUAUGCUCUAAUUUUUUCUAAGCUUUGAAGAAUGAUUUGACUUAGGUAAGUUCUAGUUAUGUUUCUAGGCUAAAACUGACCAAAACCACAUAGUUUAAGGUCUAAACGACGUAGUUUGGGUGUCCAACGCAUAAGGAAAAGACCAAAAGGCCCCUGACUUAACUACUGUUGGGGUCACCGACAGACGGGACCGAAGGACCGUCGUUCGACUGACGGUCCGUGCUAGUCAACUGUCAGUCGUGAUUGAGGGCUAAAAAAAGGGGUCUGAUCCACGGACACGGACCACGGUCUGUGACCUGACCUACGGUCCAUUGGUCCGGCCGUGGGUCCACACUUAUAAUGAUUUCUGGGGCUGAAUCUGGGGGGUUGCAGAUGCGAACCACGGACCACCAGCACGGGCCGUGGGUCACCCUAUGGUCUGUGGGUGGCAAUCGUGGGUUACACCUGUAACUUCUGGAAAUCUGCAUCGAGGUCUAUUUUCGGAUACGGGGUGUUACAUUAUCUCCCCCUCGGGAACAUUCAUCCUUGAAUGAGGACUAACUAGCUGAAAUGGAGGGAGAGGGCUGUAACCCCUACCACUAAACACUGGUAACUGGUUUUUUGAUUCUGAGUUCCAAGAACAUUCAAAUAUGUUUAAAUGCAAGAAUAACUAAAGGAACUAGAUACUGAGACAUAAUUUAUGCAAGAGUAAACUAAGAGACUUAUGAGGAACUAUUACCUCAAGUUGAAAUGGAAUUGAAAGGAAAGAUGUGAGGAUACUUGGCCUUCAUGGCUGCUUCUCCUUCCCAAGUAGCUCUCUGUACGGACUGACUCCUCCACAAAAUCUUGACUGAAGCGACUUCUUUGUUUCUCAACCUUCGAACCUCACGAUCAAGGAUUUCAACUGGUACCUCUUCAUAAGUGAGACUAUCCUUCACAACCACACUUUCUAAGGGUAUAAUAGAUCCUGGAUCACCUACACACUUCUUCAACAACAAAAUAUGAAAAAGUGGAUGCACUGUUGCUAGUUCUGUUGGCAACUCUAACUCAUAAGCCACUUUACCAACCCUUUUCAAGAUCUUGUAAGGGCCUACAUAUCUAGGACUGAGCUUCCCUUUCUUGCCAAAUUUUAUCACCCCUUUCAUGGGUGAUACUUUUAAGAAAACCCAAUCAUCAACUUGGAACUCUAAUUCCCUUCUCCUUACAUCUGUAUUAGACUUCUGGCGACUUUGGGCAGCCUGAAGUCUAUCUCUAAUGAGUUGCAAUUUCUCCAUAGCAUCAUGAACUAAAUCUGCCCCUAUGAAGGUUGCUUCACCUACUUCAAACCAACCAACUGGAGAUCUACAUCUACACCUAUACAAUGCCUCUUAAGGGGCCAUUUGAAUGCUAGAAUGGUAACUAUUAUUGUAGGCAAACUCUAUAAGAGGAAGGUGAUCAUCCCAACUACCCUUGAAGUCAAUCACUCAAGCUCUCAACAUGUCCUCUAAGGUCUGAAUGGUACACUCUGCCUAACCAUCCGUCCGCGGAUAAAAUGUUGUGCUAAGGUUAACCUGAAUACCAAAACCUUUCUGAAAUGACUUCUAGAAAUGAGAGGUAAACUGAGGACCUCUAUCCGAGAUGAUAGACAAAGGAACCCCAUGCAACCUGACUAUCUCAUUAAUGUAAAGCUUGGUGUAGUCCUCUGCCCAAUCUGUAGUCUUAACCGCCAAAAAACCAUGCAGACUUAGUAACUCUGUCAACAAUCACCCAAAUGGAAUCAUGUUGUCUGCGAGUACGAGGUAAACCUGUGAUGAAGUCCAUCUUGAUCACUUCCCACUUCCAAGUAGGAGUGUUGAUCUCUUAAGUCAUACCUCCUAGUUUUUGAUGUUCUACCUUGACUUGCUGUUAAAUGGGGAACUUAGCCACAAAAUUUGCUAUAUCCCUUUUCAGACCAUUCCACCAAAAGACUUACCGCAAAUCAUGGUACAACUUAGUGGCACCUGGAUGAAUAGAAUAUCUAGAGUUAUGGGAUUCUGCAAGAAUCCGCUGUCUCAACACACCCACCUUAGGAACACAUAACCGACCCUGAUAGCAAAGCACACCAUCUCCCCCUUGGGAAAAAACCUCAACUCUCUGCUGAUGGAAUGCACCCUUUAGUUGAAGCAAUAUCUAGAGUUAUGGGAUUCUUGCUUUUGCUUAACCUCCGCUACCAAUGAAAAUUCUGACCCAUUUUGAACUGUUACACCACCAUCUGAUAUGCUCAUAAGACGAACUCCUAAGAGAGCAGGCCUGUCCUUUGAUAUAUCCUUUCUUUCUUUCUCUACAUGUGCCACACUACCCAUAGAUAGUCUGCUAAGAGCAUCUGCUACUACAUUGGCCUUACCAGGAUGGUAAUACACACUCGUAUCAUAAUCCUUGAGGAACUCAAGCCAUCUCCUCUGGCGAAGAUUCAACUCUUUCUGGGUGAACACAUACUGAAGGCUCUUAUGGUCUGUGAACACAUCUACAUGAACACCAUACAAGUAAUGUCUCCAAAUCUUAAGUGCAAACACCACUGCUGCAAGCUCGAGGUCAUGAGUUGGAUAGUUCUUCUUAUGCACCUUAAGCUGUCUAGAAGCAUAAGUUAUAACCUUACCUCGCUGCAUCAACACACAACUUAGGUCGACUCUGGAUGUAUUAAAAUAUAUAACAUAACUGUCUGAACCCCCUUAGAGUCAAAACAAGAGCUGUAGUCAACCUAGUUUUCAAUUCUGCGAAGGUUUUCUCACAAUCAUCUGACCACUUAAACUUGACCUUCUUCUGCGUCAACUUAGUCAUUGAAGAGGCUAUAGAUCAAAAUCUUUCCAUGAACCUUCUGUAAUAACUUGCUAGACCCAAGAAUCUUCUGAUAUCUGUCGGAGAGGUAGGUCUGGGCCAUUGUUUCACUGCUUCUAUUUUCUGAGAAUCCACUCGGAUCCCUUCACUAGACACUACAUGCCCAAGAAAAGUAACUGACUGCAACCAAAUCUCACAUUUGCUAAGUUUAGCGAAUAACUGGCGAUCUUUAAGAGUUUGUAGAACAACCCUCAAAUGAUUUGCAUGUUCUUUCUCAUUCCUAGAGUAAAUGAGGAGAUCAUCAAUAAAGAUGAUAAUGAACUAGUCCAAAUACUGCUUGAAUACUCUGUUCAUCAAGUCCAUGAAAGCUGCAGGAGCAUUGGUUAGUCCAAAUGAUAUAACUACAAAUUCAUAAUGACCAUACCAAGUUCUGAAGGUUGUCUUUGGAAUGUCACUAUCACUGACUUUGAGCUGAUGAUAACCCGAUCAGAGGUCUAUCUUUGAAAAAUGACUAGCACCCUGAAGUUGGUCAAACAAGUCAUCAAUCCUGGGGAUGGGAUACUUAUUCUUGAUUGUGACCUUGUUCAACUGCCCAUAGUCAAUGCACAUUCUGAGAGAACCAUCUUUCUUUUUCACGAACAACACUGGUGCACCCCAUGGGGAAAUACUGGGUAUGAUGAAGCCCUUAUCUAAAAGGUCUUUCAACUACUCUUUCAAUUCCUUAAGCUUAGUUGGAGCCAUUCUGUAAGGAGGAAUAAAAAUAGGCUGGGUAUCUAGAAGGAGAUCAAUUCCAAAGUCGAUUUCUCUUUCGGGAGGAACUCCGGGAAGAUCUUCUGGAAACACUUCUGGGAACUCAUUGACUACUGGAAUUGACUCAAGAGUUGGGUUUCAGAGCUUGAAUCCUUAACCUAAACUAGAUGAUAGAGACAACCCUUAGAGAUUAUCUUUCUGGCCUUAAGGUAGAAUGAAUCGACCUAUAGGCGCUAAGCUACUACCCUUCCAUUCUAAGAUUGGUUCGUCUGGAACUGAAAACAAACAAUCUUAGUUCUAUGUUCAACUGAGGCAUAACAUGAAUGUAACCUAUCCAUGCCUAGAAUGAUAUUGAAGUCUACUAUUUCUAACUCUACAAGAUCUGCUGAGGUGACUUUCUGAGAGACUGUGACAGGGAAAUUUUUGUAUACUCAUCUAGAUAUAACUGGGUCACCGACUGGAAUUGAGACUGAGAAGGGUUGUGAAAGAGUUUUUGGACUAUCAUCGAAUUUGACUGUUAUAUAAGGGGUUACAAAGGAAAGAGUAGCCCCUAGAUCUAACAAUGCAUAAACAUCUAAGUCAAAGACUCGUAACGUACCAGUGACUACAUCAGGAGAAUCUUUCUGGUCCUGGCGAGCCUGGAGAGCAUACAACCUAUUUUGGCAUUGAUCGCCACCUGUACCAGAUAAGUUACCCUGCUGAGUCGGGUGACAUGCUGGUGCUGCUGAAGUUGUGGAAUGAGCUCUACCAUUGUUACCUCAUUGACCCUAUUUAGAAGGACAAUCUUUCAACCUGUGACCAGACUGACCACAUCCAAAACAUCCUUCUUUUCCUGCAAGACACUCGCCCAGAUGGUUCUUACCACACUUUGGACAAGUUGGGUAGGUUCUGGUGCCUGAAAUACUACCUUGAGACUUGGAGCCUGAUGCCCUACCUUUCUAAUUAUUUUGAAACUUAGAGAUGGAACGCUAGCUGAUGAAGGUGCUGGAGUUGAAGACUUAUGUUGAAACUGCGAGCGAUUUCCACCACCCGAUUUCUGUUGAGAAUAGCCAUAGUUGUCGUCAUAGCCUUCUUAUUCUCCUUGGCCUAUUCCUAAGCUUAUCACCCUCAACCUGCUCAGCAUGAGUCAUGAGCCUAGAGAUGUUUAUAUCUUCCAGCAACAUAGCAUUUUUACACUCUAUUUUUGCAAGAUAGGGUACCCCAUGAUCCCUAGAAUCGGCCACCAUGUGAGGAUCAUACCUGGAGAGUUGGGUGAACUUGAGUCCAUACUCUUGGACCGUCAUAGAACCCUGCCUUAAAUUCAUAAACUCUUGAACUUUUUCCUCCAUCAACUCUCUUGGGAAGAACCUGUCCAGAAAGGUCUCACUGAAGCAUUCCUAAGUGAUAGGAGUUGCAUCUGUACCCCUAUUCUCCUUCCACUGAGUAUACCAGAUAUGAGCUACAUCCUUAAGCUGGUAAGAUGCCAACUCAAUCCGAUCAUUCCCAGUUACCUGCAUCACUCCAAAGAUCUUCUUGACCUCAUCAAUGAAGUUUUGAGGAUCCUCACCAGUCUGCGAUCCUAAGAACUCAGACGGAUUCAGCCUAACGAAAUCACAAACUCUAGUUGACCCAACAUUAGCAUUUGUCGAAACUAGAACCUGCUGAUUGUUCUGGUUGUUCAUACUCUAAGCCAAAAGCUAAAUCGCAUUAUGAAACUCUGCGUUCGAAACCUCAUGGUCUGGGACUAGAGGAAAUGUGUUAGCAUUGCAUGCAUUAGCAUUCCAUGCGUAAGCUCUACGAGGAGGCACGAUCUUACGAGCAUAACGACAAAUUAGAAUGAGGAAAUUGGAUCAUACCUCACGCACGAUAAAUGUAACAAAGAAAAUAAAGUUUUCCUAAAACACUUUGCAGCCUCCUUCUCGUUAGAUUUGUUGCACUUUACACCCAUGAAAAACACUCUACUUAAUGCGGGUUUUCAAACAUCCUAUGACUAUUAAACUUAGUGUUCUGAUACCAAGUUUGUCACGCUACGAGGAUACCCCCUGGACGCAAGCAAGGGACCUAGGAUCAUGAGUGAUCCCAAGCUAACCCUGCUGGAAUAAUCAUAAGCAUACUAAAGAUAAACUGAAGCAUUAAGUAUUGUGUGGAAGCUAAAUCACAUAAAUAAUCUGAAAUGAUAGGGGAUACCCAUAUACUAAAUCUGAAUAUAAGAAACUGAGAGUUUGAAUAAAAAUGAGAUGUCAAACUCUAACACUAAAGAUGAAACUAACUAUGUUUGAAAUAAGCCUCUAAACUGAUUAGAAAUGUUGGGACAUUCCCCAGCUAGAUCUAGCAAAACUGAAACUAAAACUACAAGCAAGAAGAUAAUCAUGUCACUAGUACUCGAAGAAUGAGGACUCACCACUGAUGCUGCUGAACUGAAGAUCGGGAACCGAUCUAUGUAUGCUCUGACUGCUGAGGACCUAACCCUACAUCAUGGGAAGAUGUAGCACAGAGUAUGCGUCAGUACUUGAAAGGUACUGAGAAUGUAGGAUAGAGUAAAACUGAAUAGUAACAUAACUGAACAAGCAAUAAAGCAAUUAUAUAAUCUGAACAUGAAAAGGAUACUGGAAAUACUGAACAUGGCUAAACUGAAUGCAAUGACCAAGUUUAUAACAUGCUGAGACUGAAUAUUGAACUAAACUGAUAACAUGGUCAAUGCAAUAGAAUCUGACUGAACUGUAAGAGAGCUACUAAUAACCGACAUAAAACCACAUGAGCUAAAUGUGGAGUCCGAUGUAUAUGCCCCAUCGAGAGGACCCAAUAUACCCUGCCAGAGGUAAAGAGGCUUGCUGGCGUGAUCACUAAAAUGAUGCACAUAGAGGGGACUUACAACCUACGGGGCACGUAGUUUUGGGACUUGAGGUGACUGACGCUAGUCCACUCGGUAUUAAGCUUUCCAUAUGAUUAAGUAAUUAACACUUUAUGACUGAAAUGUUGUAAUACUGGAUAACUCAAAAUACUGACUUGCAAACUGAGAAUGCAACAUUAAUAUACUGAUAAUAAUGCAUUCAAAAACUGAGGCCUAUUAAUAUAUAACUGAAUUUACUGACCUAUCAUGUGUAAUUUGUAAACUAAAAGAACUACAUAGCUAGUUUUGGGAUUUGAGGGUGACUGACCCUAGCCUACUCGGUAUUAAGCUUCCCAUAUGAUUAAGUAAUUAACACUUUAUGACUGAAAUGUUGUAAUGCUAGAUAGCUCAAAAUACUGACAUGAAAACUGAGAAUGCAAUAUUAAUAUACUGAUAAGAAUGCAUUCGAAAACUGAGGCAUGUUAAUAUAUAACUGAAUUUACUGACCUAGCAUGUGUAAUUCGUGAACUAAAAGAACUACAUAGCUAGGGUUUUGAGUUUAUGCAUGAACCUGGGAAUAACGAUACCGAAUUCAUGAUAAUACGAUUUGGAUCAUUCUAACAUCUAAAACCUAACAAUUCUAACAUUCAAGAAACCCUAAGUCUAGAUAAUAUUAAGGGAAUCAAGAUUCUGACUGAAAUUUAGGGACCUAAUGGGCGAAAGGAACCCACUAGUGAAAUCCCACAUACCUGGUGACAAAUUCCACGGAGAAAUAUUUCGAUUUCGAGGCUAGAACUAAUGGAGCUUUGUUGCAUUCUUGAACUAGGCUUCUUGACCUCUCUCCUCUUACGAUCUAAUGUUUUCGAAGUUUUGAAGAAUGAUCUGACUUAGUAAGUUCUAGUUAUUUUUCUAGGCUAAAACUGACCAGAACCACGUAGUUUAGGGUCUAAACAACGUAGUUUGGGUGCCCAACGCAUAAGGAAAAGACCGAAAGACCCUGACUUAACUGUUGUCGGGAUCACCAACGGACGGGACCGACAGACCAUCAAUCGACUAACGGUCCGUGCUGGUCAACCGUCAGUCUUGAUUGGGGGCUAAAAAAGGGGCCUGAUCUACGGACACGGACCACGGUCCGUGACCUGACCUACAGUCCGUGGGUCCAGCCGUCGGUCGACACUUAGAAUGAUUUUUGGGUUGAGUCUGGGGGUUGCAGAUGCCAACCACGGACCACCAGCACAGGCCGUGGGUCACCCUAUGGUCCGUGGGUGGCAGCAGUAGGUUGCAUCUGUAACUUUUAGAAAUCUGCAUCGAGGUCUGUUUCCGGAUAAGGGGUGUUACAUUUUAAGUUUUAGGUCAACUUCAAAUGACCAUAAAUUUCAGUACAGGAUAAGUUAGGAGACCCACAAGAUAUCAAAUGAAAGAUCUCUGAGUCCGCUUUCCAACGCCACCAAUAUUUCCAAUUUUUGAGCUCAUAUGAGGGAGAUAUGCCCUUUCGAAGUCAGGCUGUCCAUUUAAGGAAAGUUACCCAAAAAUAAGAAUGGUAUUUUAGUCUUUUCCUUAUCCCCACUUGUUCUAAACGCAUAUCCGAGUUUGCUAAGUUUCGAGGUCGGAUGAGUGAGAUAUGCCCUUUUGAAGUCAGGCUGUCCAUUUAAGGAAAGUUACCCAAAAAUAAGAAUGGUAUUUUAGUCUUUUCCUUAUCCCCACUUGUUCUAAACGCAUAUUAGACUCAAUUAAGGGUCUAAAUUGAUUAGAAUCAGUUUCAUUCAUCUCCAAAAGCGUUUAGAGUUUUAGAGAGAAGAUUCAAGAGGAGAAAAAGUUAAAAGUUUCAACCGUUCGUUCAAGAAAUUCAAGAUUUCGCCAAGAACCUAGUUCUUUGAGGUAUGUAAGCUUCUAUAGUGUUGAGUUUUUCACCCUCACACUAAUCAUUAGUUUCUUUUGUGAAUCUAUCCAUAAAUAUUGAGCAAUUUAAUUUCUCGAUGAGUUCUUGAUAAGUGUUCUUGAAGUUUCCUUAUCGAUUAAGUUUUGAUGUAAGAUUCUACUUGGGUCAACUUCAAAUGACCAUACCUCUUAGAAUAUAAAGAGUUACGUGGCUCAUAACCUAUCAAAUUAAAGAUAUUUCAAUUUACUUUCCAACGCCACUAAUUUUGCAUCAAUCCAAUUUCUGAGUAAAACGUUAUGGCCAUUUUAGUAGCCUGAUACAAUGUUGUUACAAAUUAGCCGACGGAAAACAUUAAAAGGGUCGUUUUUGUCUUUUUACCUCCAAGAAAAUCCUAAACGAAUUUCUUGACUAAUAAAAGGCUUAAAACAAUUAGAUUUUCAUCUUUUAAUCCAUCAAUCUCUUCUCUCUCAAACCCUAGGGGAAAACCCUAAGGAUAAAUUAAAGUAGAAGACUCCAUUCAAGAUUAUUUCAAUCUUUUUCAAGAUUUUUCUUCGAGGUAAGUAUUUCUACAAGAAUUCCAUUAUUUUCAACUCAAAUUCUUCCAUAGAAUUAUGAAUCACUAAUGAAAAUACUAAUUCUUGGCCGUAGAGAUUUCAAGAAUCUCAAGAAAGGUUUCAUUGAUCGUUUACCUUCAAGCUAGGGUUUCAAGGCUUCUCAUCAAAUUCUUCUUCAAGAUUCUUCAAGAACCUUGUUGUAAGGCUAUCAUAGUGUUGGACUAGUUCGUCCUCACGCCCUACAUCUACUUUCAAAUCAAUAAAAGAGAAAUCUAGGAUUCUACCCCUAGAUUUGAGUAUUCUUGAGAUGAGAUUUGAGUUCUUUAUUCUUUUUGAAAUUCUAUUUCUAAGUAUUGAGUUUCUAUAUUUUUAUUGAGAUCCUUGAGUUGAUUUGUUCAUGUCUAUAAUUCAGCAUGAACCCUAUUUUGAGUUAUAAAUCUUGAAAAGUUUUUCAAAGCCAACACUUGAGUUUUAAACUGAGUUUUUGAGGAAGUAAAAAUGAGUUUUGAGAAAAAGUUUAAAGGUUCAAUUUCAUAAAGACUCAAGAGUUUUUAAUGUUAUUUUAUUCAUAAAUAUACAUAUACAUAUGUACCUAUGUUAAUUAUUUAACUUGAAAGAUAAGUUUAUAUGUGCAUGUUUUCAAGAAGGUAAAUACGUCUUAUGUUUUGAAAAGUAUUUCAAGUAAUGUACGAAGUCCAUUCUUUGUAAUGGGUGAAUUGAGCACAAAGUUAUAUUAAUUAUUUUGGGAGUAGUAUCGAGCACCAAGUUUGUCACGAUCCACACUGUUGUGAUUGGCACCCACAUAAACCCUCCGGUGGGAGAACCAUUAAUACUAAUUAGCUAACCCAAGAAUUGACAUUUAAAGAUACAAAAGCAGGUUUAAAUGCAGAAAUAAGGUAGAGUUCCCAUAAACUCUAAAAGUCUAACAACGAACAUCAAAACAUUGCAGAAGUAUUCCCUAGAAUCAGAAAGUCAAUGUACCAAAACUCUAACAAGGAACCAUGAGUCUAAAGAAAAGGGGCACAAUUCCGAAAGCUAAAACUACUAAUCAUCUUUAGUACUAAUCUAUAUCAGAAUAAGAGGGACUGAGCAAAAAGAUAAAUCAUGGCAGCUUGGAAGAAUUGGCUCACCCUUGAAUUAGAUUGAUCACCGAUCUCCUAAAAGGGGUCUGUUAGUAGCCACCUAAAGAUGCCCUGUUCUGAACAAAGAAAGAGCAAGUGCAGUAUCAGUACACAACCACAGUGUACUGGUAGGAUCACGUGGCUAUUCGAGUAAGUGAAACAUAUACAACAGUUACAACAUAGUAAACAGGCAUGUACAAAAUAUAACACAUAUAUCGAUUAUCAUUUCAGGAGCAACUUACAAUUCCACAUUCUCUUUAACAAGUAAUCACGACAAUUCAAUGGUCCUCUCAUGGAACCCAUACCCAAACUGUUAGUGCACCAGAAUGUGGUACCCGAUCCAAGUUAGUGUGUCGGAACGUGACACCCGUUCCAAUAUGUAUGUCCGUACGUGACAUCCGAUCCCAGUUAGUGUGUUGGAACGUAACACUCGAUCCAUUCAACAAGCCACAAUCACAAUCACAAUAUACAUUCUCAAAAUCAUACAAUCAAGUGUUGAUUCAUGACAUACAAUCAUUCAUUCAUAAUUAUUUGCACUAGGUGUAAUCAAUAGUGCGACAUUCGUAUACAUACAUCCAUUACAAUGAAGCAAUUGCUAGCAUACAUUACAUAAAACAAGAAAUCAAACCAUCACCUACCUCGAAAAUAAGUUUGAAUCCUCCUAAGAAACUUGAUUCUUCCCUUUCUGGAUUCUUUUUGCUUGUUCUAGGUCUACAAACAAUCAAUUCAGUAAGCAGAUCAGUAAUUAAGGUCUAAUUUACCCGAAUUAUGACCAACCCAAACCCAGGACGCAAAUUAUGAUCCUAAUGUGCAGCUAGGGAUUUUUUUCACCAUCUAAUUCAAUUCAAAACCCUCCCCCAACAAUAUAUAAUCAAAGAUUCUACGUUUUAUAGAUCGAAAAAUGGAUUUGGGGAGUGGAAACCUUACCUUUAGCACCGAAAGUCAUGGAAACUGUCAAGAAAUCACAUGGGGUCGUCUCCUAACUCACAAGAACGAAACUUGCAAAAAAUAACAUUUUUGGGGUUUAUUUUCGACUUAAGUCGUGACUGUCCCACUAUGGCGGCCCCCACCCCGCCACAGCGGCCCCGCCCUGGCAACUUGCACGAAAUAGGGAGUCGAAUUAAGAGUUUCAAACCCUCAAUUCACAAAACACCUUCAUCCCAUGACACUUAGAAAUUACCCGUUCACGCAAAGAUCAGUUUCGGGAGUUCUAUUCACCCGAAUUUGAUUCCAUAAAGUCGUACGGGUUCCUUAACGUCUUAGCUAUCUACUCAUUUAAUCAAAUUCAUUAUUAGGUCUCUCAUUCGCUACCAGAUCUUACUAUAACUCACUGACUCUGAUUUCGUCCAAAUUUGGAUUAGGUUAGGAAAUUUCAAGUUACUACCAAAGAGUUUUCUAACCCAAAAUUCUUCCCCGAUGGUUGUUCUAUAAAAUGGGAACAGGUCGUUACAAUAGAUACCAAUUUACCUAUCACUCGUCCUCCAGUAACAAACUAGAUAAAACGGGCUAAAGUAAGGGUAAAGUAGUACUUGAAUCGACGAACAAUUGGGGAUACUUGUCUCGUAUGUCCUUCUCAGUUUCCCAAGUUGAUUCCUCAAUUGAAUGAUACUUCCAUUAAACUUUCACGGACUUAACCUCCUUGGUCCUCAGCUUUCGGAUAUCACGAUUAAGAAUUGCAAUCGGUUCCUCCUCAUACCGGAGGUCUUUGCCUAACUACACUGAGUCCCAUUUUAUGAUGUUAUCCCCGUAACCAUGAUAUCUCUUCAAUCUACAAGCCAUUGGCCCUACACAGUCAAAAAUUUCAAAUGGUCCAAUGUAUCGAGGACUAAGCUUGCCCUUCUUUCCAAAUUGCAUCACCCCUUUCAUGUGUGUCACCUUAAGAAGAACUUUUUCACCAGUCUGAAAUGACAUGUCUCUUACCUUAUGGUCUGCAUACUUUUCUGUGUACUCUGGCUGCUAAAAGCGUAGCUUGGAUGCUUCUUACCUUAUCCUGAGCAUCCUUCACCAAGUCAACCACCAAAGGUUUCACAUCUCCAGCCUCAAACCAUCAUAUGGGUGAUCUACAUCCCCUCCCAUAAUGUGUUUCAAAUGAUGACAUAUCAAUGCUAGAGUGGUAACUGUUAUUAUAGGAUAACUCACACAAAGGUAGGAAUUUAUCCCAAUGUCCUCCAAAGUCAAUCACACAUGCCCUCAAUAUGUCCUCUAACACUUGGAUAGUCCUCUCUAACUGCCCGUCCGUCUGCGGAUGGAAAGUUGUACUAAAAGUGAGUUGUGUGCCCAAUUCAUCAUGUAAUUUAUUCCAAAACUUGGAUGUGAACUGCAUACCAUGGUCUGAGAUGAUAGAAAGGGGCAUCCCGUGCAACUUUACGAUCUCUUUUACAUACACCUUAGCCAAUUGUUGUGCAUUAUAAUCUAUUCUGACUGGAAUAACAUGGAACGACUUAGUCAAUCUGUCAACCACAUAGAAUCAAACUUUCCCAAAGUCUUGGGAAUACCAACCACAAAAUCCAUAACUAUCUUUUCCCACUUCCAUUACGGAAUUGGCAUUCUCUGGAGCAAACCUGCCGGCCUUUGAUGCUCAUAUUUUACUUGUUGGCAAUUUUGACACUUAGCCACAAACUCUGCUAUGUCUCUCUUCAUGCCAGGCCACCAAUAAAGUCGCUUCCAAUCUCGGUACAUCUUGGUCACACCUGGAUGAAUAGAAUAUCGCGAACCAUGAGAUUCUGUCAAUAAUUUCUAAAUCAAGUCAUCUACUCUAGGAACAAAAAUCCUUUCUUUAGAGCUAAGCACACCUACCCCACCCCCUCCCCUGCAUUUAAGGUCGCAUCUUGUGUCUUACCAGACACUGUUUUCUCUCUGAGCUCAUUUAAAUUCUCAUUCUCAAACUCUUUGGCCUUGAUUUCCUCAAUGAAUGUGGCCCUUACCUCAAUGCUAGCUAACACCCUACCUUUUUCUGAGAUGCCAACUGCAUGAACUUAGAUUCCAAGGCUUGAAUUUCCUUAGCCAAAGGUCGCUUGGAUACACUCAAGCAAGCUAGACUACCCAUACUCACCGCCUUUCGACUUAGUGCGUCUGCCACUACAUUAGCCUUAUCUGGAUGAUAUUGGAUGGUUACGUCAUAAUCCUUGAGUAACUCCAUGUACCUUCGCUGUCUCAAAUUCAGAUCCUUUUGAGUGAACACAUGUUGUAGACUACGAUGAUCAGUGAACACUUCACACUUGACACCAUAGAGGUAAUGCCACCAGAUCUUAAGAGCAAACACUACCGCUGCCAACUCUAAAUCAUGUGUUGGGUAAUUCCUCUCAUGCACCUUCAGCUACCGCGAUGCAUGAGCUAUAACAUUCUUAUCCUGCAUUAAUACAACACCCAAACCCGAAUGUGAAGCAUCACAAUAAAUAAUAAAUCUCUACCUUCCACCGAUAGUGCUAAACUAGGUGUUGUGGUCAAAAAAGGCUUGAGCUUUUGUAGGCUCUCAUCACAUUUUUCGGUCCAUUCGAAUGACACCUCCUUUUUGGUCAACCUUGUAAGAUGCAUGGCAAUAGAAGCAAAGUUCUUCACAAAUCGACGAUAGUAGUUAACGAGCCCCCACAAAACUCCUAACUUCAGUCACAGAGCUAGGCCGAACCCAAUUCUUAACUGCUUCAAUCUUUUGGGGAUCCACCAUUACCCUCUCCCUUGAAACUACAUGCCUCAAAAAGGCAACCGAAGUCAACCAAAAUUCACACUUAGAAAAUUUUGCAUACAACUUUUGUUUCCCAAGAAGACCCAGAAUAAUACGAAGAUGGUCGACAUGCUCUUCCUCACUAUUCAAAUAGACCAAAAUGUCAUCAAUAAAUACUAUCACAAACGAAUCAACGUAUGGUUUGAACACACCAUUCAUCAAACUAAUGAAAGUUGCGGGCGCAUUUGUCAACCCAAACAACAUAACGAGAAACUCAUAGUGUCCAUAGCGGGUCCUAAUGGUUGUCUUUGGUACAUCCUCAGGCCUAAUGUUUAACUGAUGGUAACUAGACCAUAAAUCAAUCUAAGAGAAAACUGAUGCACCUUGCAACUGGUAAAAAAGAUCAUCUAUUUGAGGAAAUGGGUACUUGUUUCAAAUGGUGACUCUAUUCAAUUGUCGGUAGUCUAUGCACAUCCUCAUACUACCAUCCUUUUUCUUACAAACAAGACAGGAGCACCCCACAGGGAAGCACUAGGACGGAUAAAACCUUUAUAAAGAAGUUCUUGGAUUCGAGCCUUAAGCUCUCUCAAUUCUACCGGGACCAUGCGAUAAGGAGGGAUGGAGAUACGGCGGGUACGAGGUUCCAAAUCAAUACAGAAAUUUAUAUCUCUAUCCGGAGGCAUGCUAGGCAUAUCAGUAGGAAACACUUCUCUAAAUUCUGACGCCACAGGUAUAGACUCAAUAGAGGGGGACUCAACCUCAACAUCCCGAAUAUGAGCCAAAUAUGCCAAACAACCCUACCCCACCAUCUUCCUAGCCCGAAUGAAGGAUAUCAUCUUAGCUUGCUUAGGCUUGUACACCCCUUCCCACUCUAACUUUUCCCUACCUGAAAUUUCUAGAGUCACAGACUUAGUAUUACAAUUAAGCACAUCAUAAUAGGAGGACAACCAAGUCAUACCUAAGAUUAUAUCAAAGUACGUCAUAUCCAAAAUAACCAAAUCAGCCCAACUUUGGAAACCCAUAAACAUAACAGAACAAGCACGAUAAACAUAGGUGACUAUGACAACUCUCCAACUGAGGUAGAAACAUGGAUGGGGGCAUCAAGUACAUCAUAAAUCAUAUCAAAUCCUAAGGCAAACUGAACGGACACAUAAGAAUAAGUAGAACCCGGAUAAAAUAAUACAUUAGCAAUUCGGUCAUAGACAAGAAUGGUACAUGUGAUCACUACGUCAGAAGAUUUUGCCUUGCUCUUGCCUGGAAAGGCGUAACACUAAGCCCUUUCAUCUUGAUGGGCGACUUCCCUGCCUGGUUGUGCCGUACUUCCGCCUACAUUACUAUUUCUUCGACCUCCACGGCCUCGCUGAUUUCUUCCUCGCCCACCUUGUGGACGUCCUCAACCAUUAUUACCAUUUCUUGUAGGGACCACUGCUCUAGUUUGCCGCUGCGUAAGGUCCAACAUGCGUGGAUGGGGACAAUAUCUCCAUAUAUGCCCAGGUUCUCCAUAAUUAUAACAAGUGCGAUCAAAAGAUGGCCUGCUGCUCGCCGAAUGUGCGGCUCCUUGGCUAUCAUGAAUCAAAUUUGGAUGUGGAGUUCCCGAGUAAUUACAUGUAAAAGCGGGCAUAACAGACUGAAUUAGCUGAGCUGCAAGUGUCAGCCUCCCUUAACCUCAAGAGUAGGAACCCUGAAAGUUACAUGUGCUUUUAGCUUUCUUAGCCAACGCCUUAGCCUGCCCAUAACGCCUCACUCCUUCCACUUUCUUUACAAAAUCUGUUACCUCAUUAAAACUUUUCCCUGCAUAAGUCAUGAGCACCGACAAUACUUGUAACUCGAAAUUCAGUCCCUUGACGAAUAAACAGAUCCUCUAUUCCUCAGUAGUCACCAAUUGCAUAGCAUAUCUGGACAAAACAUGGAGCUUGGUCCCAUAAGCAGGCACAUACAUACCACCUUGCUCCAAAGCCAUGAACUCAUCCUUCUUACGAUUUCUCAAGGUCCGGGGCACAUACUUCUCCAAAAACGGAGAAUGAAACUGGGUCCAAGUGAGUGGGGUAAAGCUGAAGAUAUGCAUUCCACAUAAGCUCUCCACCAUUUCUUAGCCUCACCUUGAAGCUAAAAAGUCACAAACUCUACUCCAUGUUGAUGGACUAUACCCAACUUAUGCAGUCUCUCAUAAUAAUCUAAGAUGAACUCAUAUGCGUCCUCACUCUCAGAACCAUGGAAUACCAGAGGCUUCAGUUUCAGAAACUUGGUCAACAUUUCAUGUUCAUUACCAGUCAUCACAAAACCAAAUAAAGGACGAAAGAAGGCAUCAGUACCUAUAGUUCCACCUACCUUGGGGAUAGUAAUAACAAUAGGGGCAUUGACGGGAGUUUAAGUUGCUUGAACUGCAUGAAGAAUUCUAGGACCAACCAAUCCUUUCAGGAAGGACAUAAUCUGUUGAGCUAAUACUGGGUCUGAGGGAGGAAUACCUGUAGUAUCAGCCUGCACCUCUUCCUCUUGUCCAAUAUCCUCAUCAUUCUCAACAUUAAUAUAAUCUUCUAUCUCUUCAUGAUGCGCAUGGGGAUUCUCAACCGGAUCUCCACCCUUAGCGGGUGCUAUCCUUCCUCUGCCCCUGCCCCUUGCUCACCCUCUACCCCUGCCUUGACUGUGACCUCUCAUUGCGGAUUCCUCAUCUGGCUCGCUGACGGGAGAUGCAGGCCUGACACUAUUGAACCUAAUGUUAACCAUCUGCGGACAUAAGAGUGAAGGAGGUUAGAUACCAAUUCAGAUCGCUAGAUACCAAUUGAAAUCAAGUUAUAGCACGAAAAGAGACAAGAGAAAAUAGAGGAUUUCCUAAAGUCCUAUAGCCUCUCAAAAAAAAGUACAUACGUCUCUGUACCGUUCCGCAAGACUCUGCUAGACUCGUUUGGUAUACCGAGAUCAACAAACCUAGGGCUUUGAUACCAAUUUGUCAUGACCCAGACCGUCGCGAUUGGAACCCACACAAGCCCUCUAGUGGGAAAAUCAUUAAUACUAAUUAGCUAACCCAAGAACUAACAUUUAAAGAUACAGAAGCAGGUUUAAAUGCCGAAAUAAGGUAGAGUUCCCAUAAACUCCAAAAGUCUAACAACUAACAUCAAAACAUUGCAGAAAUAUUCGCUAGAAUCUGAAAGUCAAUGUACCAAAACUCUAACAAGAAACCAUGAGUCUAAAGAAAAGGGGCACAACCCCAAAAGAUAAAACAACUGAUCAUCUAUAGUACUAAUCUAAGUCUGAAUAAGAGGGAUUGAGCAAAAAAAGAACUUAUGGCAGCCUGGAUGAACUGGCUCACCCUUGAAUUUGAUUGAUCAAUGAUCUACUAAACGAAGUCUGUCAGUAGCCACCUGAAUAUGCCCUAUACUCAACAAAGAAAGAGCAAGUGCAGUAUCAGUACACAACCACAGUAUAUUGGUAGGAUCACACGGCUAUUCCAGUAAGUGAAACAUAUACAACAGUUACAACAUAGUAAACAUGAAUGUACAGAAUAUAACACAUAUAUCAAUUAUCAUUUCAUGAGUAACUUACAAUUCUACAUUCUCUUUAACAAGUAAUCACGACAAUUCAAUGGCCCUCUUAUGGAACCGAUACCUAAACUGUUAGUGCACCAGAACGUGGUACCCGAUCAAAGUUAGUGUAUCAGAACGUGACACCCGUUCCAAUAUGUAUGUCGGUAUGUGACAUCCGAUCCCAGUUAAUGUGUAUGAAUGUAACACCUGAUCAAUUCAACAAGCCACAAUCACAAUCACAAUGUACAUUUUCAAAAUCAUACAAUCAAGUGUUGAUUCAUGGCAUGCAAUCAUUCAUUAAUACUCAUUUGCAUUAGGUGUGAUCAAUAGUGCAAAAUUCGAAUACAUAUAUACAUUACAAUACAAUUGCUAGCAUACAUCACACAAAACAAGAAAUCAAACUAUCACCUACCUUGAAAAUAAGCUUAAAUCCUCUUAAGAAACUUGAUUCUUCCCUUUCUGGAUUCUUUCUGCUUGUUCUAGAUCUAGAAAUAAUCAAUUCAAUACGUUAAUCAAUUAUUAAGGUCUAAUUUACUCGGAUUAUGACAAACCCAAACCCAAGACCCAAGUUAUGAUCCUAAGGUGCAGCUAGGGAAUUUUCCCACCAUCCAAUUCAGUUCAAAACCCUCCCCCUAUAAUAUAUAAUCAAGAUUUUAUGUUCUACGUAUUGAAAAACAGAUUUGGGGAGUAAAAACCUUACCUUUAGCACCGAAAGUUGUGGGAAACUGUCAAGAAAUCACUUGGGUUUAUUUCCAACUUAUGUCGCUACUGUCCCGCAAUGGCGGCCCCCAUCCCGCCAUAACGGCCCAGCCCUGGCAGGAAUAAUCCUGCCCUAGAGACUUGCACCAAAACAGUGAGUCGAAUUAAGAGUUUCAAACCCCUAUUUCACAACAUACCUUCAUCUUAUGACACUCAGAAACUACCCGUUCAUGCUAAGAUUAGUUUUGGGAGUUCUACUCACCCGAAUUUGAUUUUAUAAAGUUGUACAGGUUCCUUAACAUCUGAGCAAUCUACUCAUGUAAUCAAAUUCAUUUUUAAGGCUCUCAUUCGCUACCAGAUCUUCCUAUAACUCAUUGACUCCGAUUUCGUCCAAAUCUGGACUAGGCUAGGAAAUUUCAAGUUACUACCAAAAAGUUUUCUGACCCAAAAUUCUUCCCCGAUGGCUUUUCUAUAACGACAGGAACUGGUUGUUACAUAGUUGGGUUAGAGUAUUUUAUGGUUCAGAAGUCCCACAGAACUACGUAGCCACCGUAGGAUAGGAUAACAUUGAUUCUUCAUGCGACUCCUCAGUGCCUUUGAGAAGGCUAAUUAGAUGGAUCUAUAGUCACAAUAUCAUCAUAUACCCCCGACAAGGUAUAUGAUGGGCCCUUGCAACGUGCGGCAGGACGUAUCAUUGUUAGGCUCAUAGUAAUAGUUGUCGGUUAGAGAAACUCCCCACAAGUAAAGUAUAUUAUUUUCAUGUUGCUUUCAUUGUAUAUUUUAUUGCAAACUUAAAUGGUUUUUACUUCAUGUUCAUGUAUUGAUUCAGUUGAGUCGCUUCCAGUCCUUCAGUUCAGUUAUUUGUUUACUCAGUCAUAUUACAUACUCGUACAUUCCAUGUACUGAUAUCAUUCGACCUGCAUCCUUUUAUGAUGUAGAUAUAAGUGUUCAUAAUUAUCAACAGGCGCUUUGUUGAGAUCACUUUAUACUCCAGUUAACUUUGGUAAGCCUCAUUGUAUUCUAGAGGACUUCAUAGUUACUUUCUAGUUAGUGGUUUUGAGGUGUCGUAGGUCUUGUCCCGACAUCCUUUCUUAAUAGUAGAGGUUUCAUAAAUAGAUAGUUUUGGAGAGUCUUUCAGUUUUCAGAUAUUUUAUUUAAACUUAUGUUUCAUACUAUGUAUAUUCAUCAAGGUUAUGAGAUUUAGUAAACUAUUUUUAAACGUUUCUUUCAGUUUGAUGCUUAUGUAUGAUUGAGUUAGUCUUCCUCUUGUAAUCAGCUAGGAUGAGGGUUUGCUUGGGGACAAGAAAUGGUUCUCGAGUGUCGGCCACUUCAAGGAUGUAUGCUCAGAUCGUGACAAGCUGACUCACUGACAGAAGUAGAGACUCAGAAGGGUUUUGAUAGGACUUUGGGAGUGACAUCAAAUUUCAUUGCAACAGAAGGAGUCACGAAGAAAAGUGUGUCUUUUAGAUCUAACAAGGUAUAAACAUCAAACAAAAAGACUCGUAAUAUACAGUGACUACAUUAGGAGAACCUUCUUGAUCCUGUCGUGUCUAAAGAGCAUAAAACUUAUUCUGGAGUUGUCCUCCACCAAUGCUAGAUGAGGUACCCUGCUGGGUCGGGUGACCUGCUGUAGUGUUAGGCUGAGCUUACUGACAAACAUCUCUACCCUUGCCAACUGUAGAUGAACAAUUCCUUAGUUUGUGACGAAUCUUACCACAUAUGAAACAUCCAGUAGUAUCGACUAUACACUCUUCCAAUAGUUCUUACCACACUUAUGAUAAGUGUGGAAAGAAUGUCCACUAGAAACACUACAUUAGAGCUUGGCAUUUUAUCCUUGUUAAACUUAGGCAAUGGAGCACUAGUAGAAGAUAAGACCGAGCCUGAAUAUUUCUGUUGGAACUAAGAAAGAAUAGCACAUCCUGGUCUCUUAUAAGAGUAGUCAACACUAUUUUUUCGAGCCCAUUAGUUAUCCCUAUCACUCUUCUUGAGAUUUUCCUUCAUUAAUUUUUUGGGCAUGAGUCAUCAAACGGGAUAUUUCUAUCUCCUUGAUCAAUAUCGCAGUAAUACACUUUUUCCCCAUCAUCUUAAAAACACUAGAGACAAAUGUAAUCAUGUGGGUCCUAGAGUCGGCCACCAUAGUCAGAGAAUUUCUAGAGAGUUGAGUAAACUUCAAAGAAUAUUUUUGCACUGUCAUGUUACCCUUACCUAAAUGUAUAAACUCUUAAACCUUAGCCACUCUCAUCUCAAGCAGAAAGAUUUUGUCUAAAAAGUACCCUUCAAUUUUUUCAAUUUAGGGGUCUGCAUCAACAAUUAUUUCCUUUUUCCAUUGCUUGUACCAAAUCUAGGAAACUCCCUUCAACUGAUAAGUGACUAAAUUUGUGCUCUCGACCCUUUAUAGCGGCUCUACCCGCUAUAGUGAAGUUUCCAUAGCAGCCCACCCACUAUAGUAGGAACUAAUUUAUCCUGGUAUAUAUAGUAGCAUGAUACCCGAUAUGGCGAAUUGCACGGAGGCUGAUACUUAGAAUCCUCCCCAAAUUCCCAAUUUCAUAACACACCUUAGAACAUUGACGUUCUAUAUUAACCCCUUCACUCCAUGUCUGAUAUGAGAGUUCUACAUACCCAAAUUCACUUCCAAAAUGCCAUAUGAAUUCCUUAAAGUCUUAGCUACUAUAAAACAUGAUACAAGCUUAUACAUACAACUAAGUUCAUUUUCGGGUCGUCUUAGACCACACCUCACUCAGAUUUCACCUAAGAAUGGCCUAGCCUAAGAUUUUCAAGCCACUACCCAAAAAGUUUUCUAAUCCAAAUCUUUCACCAUUGGUCUACCCGUGAUAAUUGAAAAGGGUUGUUACAUAUACAUACUAAGUAACCAGUAUUUUGGUACUUAUACUACACUUCUGCACAUUUUCCUUAUGUAGCUCGUAAUACGAGCCACCCAUACUGAGCGUUGAAUCUCCUGUGGCCAUCGCAGACUUGGAUCGUGCUGAGCUCUUGGCAUUUUAGGACUUGUUGCUUUUAUUUCUUACGUAUCUUUCUAUGUAUUCUGUAAAUUUAUUAGAAAAACUUCAUGCAUAUAAUCCAUUAUGUACUUAGAUACUUCUAUACCAGUGACACCAGGUCUGGGAUUGGUUUCUAUGUAUUGUUUGUGUUUCUCGGUUACAUUUAGGCACAUUUUUCAUAUUUUGUAUUAAAUUUACAUAACUAUUCUAUAGGCCCUAUUUUGUAUAUCUAUUUCUACUUUCCGUCAUACAUUUUCAAUAGAUUGUUGUCUUCCUCUUUGGAUUUAGCCUUGCCUACUGCGGAGUUAUAGUAGGUGCCAUCAUGUCACGAUUUUAGUUCAUGACAUGGUUGGGGUGGAAUGACCAUGAAAUUGGUAUGGGGUUUAAAAAUAAGUUAUAAUCCAAGAAUUUUUAGGCCAAAUGAGGUUGAUUUGGUGUUGUAUUAUUGUUUUGGACCAAGAGCAAGUCGAAACUUGAUAGAAAGGGAAAGACUUGGGGUUCAAUAGAGUAUUCAGACUUGAUUCAAGGUAUGUGUGAAUUGAUUUUCAAUCUACGUUAUGUGUUCAUGUUAACUAUAUCUUUAGUAUUGUGUAAGACCUAGAAAACUAGUAAGUGAAACUAGAACCUUAUGUGAGAGUUUAAUAGUUUGAUGUGUGGGUUAAUGUUGUAAAAUGGCUUCCCGUACUUAGGAUGAGGGAUUUAGGGGUUAAACGUAAAGGUAAGACUCCCUAAAGACUAACCAAGGGUCCUUGAGGAGGACCCUAAAGCCUAACCCCAAACUUCCGCAAAACAGCCCAAGUUGGUGACCUAUGGAUGGAACUACUGGGCGUAGGUCCAUCCACGCCCCGUGGAGGUGUCUCGUGGGUCAAAGGACAAUUAGAGGAGAUGAAGACCCCAACCCAUGAAGGACCAGUACGGUCUGUGGGUCUAUCCACGCCCCGUAGGUGGGGGUCGUGGAUGGGUCCUGCAACCUGUCCAAGCUCCGCCAAAGCUAAGUCUUUUUAGGUAAUUUCCCUUUUAGUUAUUUUGUUUUGGGGUCAUUUUAAUUUAUUUCAAUAGACUUAUAUAAGGGUUUUUAAACCAUUAAAUAACCCUUAUACUUCAUAAAUCCCAAGACCCCAAAUCAUAACCAAGUUUACCCCCAAAAAUAUUCUCUCUAGAACUUCAAGGAAGAAGAAGAAGAAGAUCAAGUUAGGGACUGAAGAAGGAAGAAUUUUGACUCGAAUUUAUUGGAUUUAUUAAUCUAUGGUAUGGUAGUCUUUGAUUCAUGGAAUGCUUUCAUACAUGAAGUCCUCAAACUCUCAAUUUCAAGUAGAAAAUUCUCCAAAACCUAGGGUUUUCACUCCAAGUCAUGGAUUCUUUCUAAAAAUAUUUUCAAUGAUUUAAUUAUCUUAAAUUAUGAUUGAAUUUCUAUUUUAUGGUGGUUUUAUGAUAAAGUUUCCCAUGAAUUACCCUAAUUUCUCAAAUUGGAUCUUAAAGUGUGAGUAUUGAUUGAUAUUAGUAGAGUGUUAUAGAAUCAUGAAUAUAAUGAAUUUAUUACCUGAAUUAUGUAUUAAUUGAGGAAUUUAUAUGGUUUUGAUGUUGAAUUUCCUCCAGGUGCCCAUGAACCCCCAUGUCCCCAAUUUGUGACUUUGUGAUAUGGGUGAAUUGUGGUGAGAUGAAAAUUAUCAGAUUUUGUUGCAUUAGUUGAGUUAUUCGUGUAACAUCUCGCACCUAGAAAUGACUAUAAAGAGUUUAAAAUAUGAAAAUAUUGAUUUUUGGAAAGAAUAAGGAAGUCUGGAAAUUGUCUACGUUAAGAAAGUUAGUUUUGGACAUUUUAAAACGGCCAUAACUCAUAGCUCAGUAGGUGUUAGCAGCAUAUAUUGAUAUGUUUGGAAAGCCCUUGGAGAUAUCUUUCCAACGCCGCCAAGAUUACACGAUUUCGACAUCGUAUGAGAGAGAUACGCCAUUCGGAAGUUGGGCUGUUGGAUCGAGGAAAGUUUCAAUCCGGAUUUAGGGAAGGGCAAAGUAGUCUUUUCUCUAAUUAAUUUCCUAAUUCGUUUUUAGGGAUUUAUAGGGGUAAAAACAGAACUUAAUUCAGUUUUGAACAGUUAGAAUACGCUUAGGGCUUGGAGAAGAGAGAAAGAAAGAAAGAACGGGAGAAGAAGGAAAGAAUUAGCCAAGAUCAUUCAAGAUUUGCGAGUGGAAUUCGUAGGGGGUGAUCCCUAUUAAGGUAUGUGAGAUUUAUUUCAUGUUGGGUUAGUUCACCCACACAUUAACUUGUUUCAAUUCAGCGAAAUUGGAGUUGUUUGAAUGUUAAGAAAGUGAAGUUCUUGAAGAACAUUGUUGAAUUCUUGUGGGUUGAUUGUUGGAUUGAUUCAUGUUUCCGGGUUGUUUUGCGAGUUAGAUUGGUUGUAAAUUGAGGGUACAAUUGAUCCUAGGGGUUUGGGAAAAGUAUCAUGGAAGUUUGGAGGAUUUAGAGAUAAAAAACAGAGGAGAAAAGUCGAGAACACCUGGGUACAGGGGUUAGGGCGUCGCACCUCUCAGUGCGCCCCAAAACGUUCUCUGAGGUUUGGUCUCUGGCGCGUCACCCCAGCCAGAGCGCCCCACCCAGCUCUCUGAGGUUUUGGGCCUGGCGCCCCACGCCUCUCAGAGNNNNNNNNNNNNNNNNNNNNNNNNNNNNNNNNNNNNNNNNNNNNNNNNNNNNNNNNNNNNNNNNNNNNNNNNNNNNNNNNNNNNNNNNNNNNNNNNNNNNNNNNNNNNNNNNNNNNNNNNNNNNNNNNNNNNNNNNNNNNNNNNNNNNNNNNNNNNNNNNNNNNNNNNNNNNNNNNNNNNNNNNNNNNNNNNNNNNNNNNNNNNNNNNNNNNNNNNNNNNNNNNNNNNNNNNNNNNNNNNNNNNNNNNNNNNNNNNNNNNNNNNNNNNNNNNNNNNNNNNNNNNNNNNNNNNNNNNNNNNNNNNNNNNNNNNNNNNNNNNNNNNNNNNNNNNNNNNNNNNNNNNNNNNNNNNNNNNAGAGCCUUUGGGCUAAACUUUGAGCAAUUAUCUCAAACUAAAGAAAGAGGUGUUUAAUACACAUAUGAACUAAAGUAUAUUUUUGGAGUAGUAUUGAGCACCGAAUUGGGGGAGCGUUCAAAGAACCCACAACCCCUAUAGAACCAUGUAGCCAUCAUGGGUAGAAGAGGUUCAUACUUUUGAGAUGAAUCCUUUUCAAGAUAGACUAAUGGAUCCAUUAGGCAGUUCAGGUUCUAUACCUUUGGCCGGGUAUAGGAUGCUCAGGCAGCGUGAGGUUUAUCUCUGUAUCAUCACUAUAGCUCUUAUGUGUAUGGUUGUCGGUUAGAGAAACUCCCACAGCAGUUAUUGAAUUUCUAUAUACAUCAGUUCAUUUGUAUUUGUACAUACAUCUCAGAUUUAUUGUAUCUUUUCAUACACACAGAGUUUAUAGCAUGUUUUAAACAACUUUUCUUUAUAUUGCACUUGUUUUAAAAUUGCUUUAUAUUGAAAUGAGUCAGUCAGGUUGAGUUGAGUGACCCAGGUAAAUUAUUCAGUUUCUUUUAGAUUCCUUCUAGCCUAUGUGUGGUUUAGCAUUCCAACUCGCAUACUUGUACAUUUAAUGUACUGAUGCCAGUUGGCCUGCAUCUUAUUAUGAUGCAGACGUAGGUAACCAGGAUCAACAUCCAGCACCUCGUUGAUCGAGUGGAGCAGCUCAGAGUCAGUGGUGAGCCUCCUUGCAUUCCGGAGGACUCUUUUAUUCUAUUUCAGUCUUUCAUUUAUUAGGAUGUUGUGGGGUUUGUCCAAAUAUCCAUCUCAGUAUUUUAGAGGCUUCAUAGACAGUCAGAUAGUUAUUAGUUCAGAUAUCUUUCUUUAUCUUUCAGAUGUUGUUUAAGACUUAAGUGCCAAUUUGGCCAACUUAUUAUUCUUUAAGUUAUUAUUUGAGACUGUUUCAUUGAGUUAAGUCUUCCACUGAGUUAAGUAAGCCAGACCAAGGGUUCGCUUGGGGAAGAAAUGGUCUCCGAGUGCCUGCCACGUCCAGGGUGUAGGCUCGGGUCGUGACAAACUUGGUAUCAGAGCACAGAGUUCAAGAGUCGUAGGGAGUCUAUGAAGUCGUGUCUGUAGAGUCCUAGUUAUCGGUGUGAAGCGCGCCACAUCUAUAAUUAGGAGGUUGCAACAUUUAGGGAAUUCUUCACUUCCUUCAUAUCCAUCUCGUGCGUUAGAGUGUAUCUCUAAAAGUUUCCUUCUAUAUCGUGCUUGUGCGUUUUACAGAUAACUAUGCCUCCAUGAAGAGCAGCACGAGGUCGUCCAGUUAGGAGAAAUAUUGAACCAUAAGAGCAAGAAUUACCUAAUGCACCUGAAGUGUAACCAGAAGGAGGGGUCUCUAAUGUUGAGUUUAGAAAGGCUAUAAGGAUGCUUAGCCAAGUUGUGACUAAUCAGGCUGGGCAGUAGAGAGGAGAUCGUCAAGAAGGGACUAACACUUCAAGGAUUCGUGAGUUCUUGAGGAUGAAUCCCCCCAAGUUUCACUGGUUCGAGCACUGUAGAGGAUCCAAAGAACUUCAUUGAGGAACUGAAAAAGGUGUUCGAUGUGAUGCAUGUUAUUGAUACUGCGAGAGUUGAGCUAGCUGCAUAUCAGAUGAAGAAAGUUGCUAGGACCUGGUUUGAUCAGUGGAAAGGGGGUAGAGCUGAGGAUGCACCACCUGCGAGUUGGGCAUGUUUUGAGGAGGACUUCUUAGGACGAUUCUUUCCCCGAGAACUGAAAGAUGCUAAGGUACGUGAAUUUCUCACCCUAAAGCAGGAUUCUUUGAGUGUGUAUGAGUAUGGAUUGAGGUCCACCCAACUGUCUCGCUAUGCUCCGGAAAUGGUUGCGGACAUGAAGAGUAGGAUGAGUUUGUUUGCUACUGGUUUGGGUCGCCUAUCUAGCAAGGAGGGCCGGGCAGCGAUGCUUAUUGGGGACAUAGACAUCUCGAGGUUGAUGGUCUAUGUGUAGCAGGUAGAGGAAGAGAAGCUAAGGGAUAGAGAGGAGUUCAAGAGCAAGAGAGCUAAGACAGGGAACGAGUCCGGGCAGCAGAAGAGUAAUGCAAACCGGUCGUCUUUCCAACAGAAACAGAAGGGAUCUGCUCUAUCAUUUGCUAGUGCACCUGCACCUAAGAACAAGAAUGAGUACUAUGGUCAAAAUUCCAGAGUUAAACCUACCUAUUCACAGUGUAGUGUGGCGCAAGGGGGUAGUAAGCCUCCUGCCUGCGCCAAGUGUGGUAGGAACCAUUCAGGUAUUUGUCGUGAAGGCUCCACUGGUUGUUUCAAGUGUGGUCAGAGUGGACAUUUCAUGCGAGAGUGUCCAAAGAAUAGGCAGGGUAACGGGGGGCAAUAAAGCCCAGUCUUCUUCAGUUGCUCCACCAGACAGGGUUGCACCUAGAGGAGCUACUUCUGGUACUGGCGGAGGAACAAACCAUCUCUAUGCAAUCACCAGUAGCCAAGAGCAAGAGAACUCUCCAGAUGUUGUCGCUGGUAUGAUCAAAAGGAUUCUCCAGAUGUUGUCGCUGGUAUGAUCAAAGUCUUUACUUUUGACGUCUAUGCUUUGCUAGACCCAGGAGCAAGUUUGUCUUUUGUAACUCCUUACGUUGCAAAUAAGUUUGAAAUUCUUCAUGAGAAACUUAGUGAACCAUUUAGUGUUUCUACACUUGUUGGUGAGUCUAUUCUAGCAGAGAGAGUCUAUCGUGAUUGUCCCGUUUUCGUCAAUCAUAAGGGUACCAUGGCUGAUUUAAUUAAGUUAGACAUGGUAGACUUUGAUGUCAUUCUUGGUAUGGACUGGCUUCAUGCCUGUUAUGCCUCCAUAGAUUGCAGAACUCGAGUUGUCAAGUUUCAGAUUCCUAAUGAGCCAGUUAUAGAGUGGAGUAGUAGUUCAGCAGUGCCUAAGGGUCAUUUCAUUUCGUACCUUAAGGAAAGAAAGUUAGUUUCAAAGGGUUGUAUCUAUCACUUAGUCCGAGUUAAUGACUCAAGUGCUGAGGAUCCUCCCAUUAAGUCAGUUCCUAUAGUAAGAGAGUUUCCAGAAGUUUUUCCUGAUGAUCUACUAGGAGUCCCUCCUGAGAGAGAAAUAGACUUCGGCAUAGAUAUCAUUCCAGAUACUCGUCCUAUCUCUAUUCCGCCAAGCAUAUUAACACCAGCAGAGUUGAAAGAAUUGAAAGAACAGUUAAAAGAUCUAUUAGAUAAGGUUUCAUCCGACAAAGUGUCUCACCUUGGGGUACUCCAGUCUUGUUUGUGAGAAAAAAAAGAUGGUUACCUUAGGAUGUUGUCACGACCCAGGAACACCCCCUAAUCGUAACCGGCGUACUCGACCUCGAAGNNNNNNNNNNNNNNNNNNNNNNNNNNNNNNNNNNNNNNNNNNNNNNNNNNNNNNNNNNNNNNNNNNNNNNNNNNNNNNNNNNNNNNNNNNNNNNNNNNNNACACAUGAGGAGGGCUACCACCAUUAGGUCUACCGACACCAUGGUUAUAAAUUCACAUGGGAUUCUAGACUUCAUCAUGAAGGGGCACCAACUUUAGGUCUACCGGUUCAAGUCAUAGUCUAAAAUGCUCCGUUAGUCAUUCAUAGAAGGGCACCAUGCUUAGGUCUCACCGAUUCAAGACAUUCAUUCAUUUAUGAAGAGGCACCAAUUCAAGGUCUACCACUUCAAUACAAUAAGCCUUCAAGUCAAGAUACAUUCAUUUCUCAAGAGAAGGAUGCCUAAGCCUACCAAGUCAAGAGAUCACAUUCCAUAGCUUUCAUGUAUCAAGAAGAGGCACUUAAGUCUGCCAUUUCAAGACACACAUUUUCAUUUAAGGAUACUUCAUAAAACUCAUUCACAUAAUUCCUUCACAUAUAGCUUCACAUAAAACUCAUUCACAUCAUUCCUUCACAUAUAGCUUCACAUAAAACUCAUUCACAUCAUUCCUUCACAUAUAGCUUCACAUAAAACUCAUUCACAUCAUUCCUUCACAUAUAGCUUCACAUAAAACUCAUUCACAUCAUUCCUUCACAUAUAGCUUCACAUAAAACUCAUUCACAUCAUUCCUUCACAUAUAGCUUCACAUAAAACUCAUUCACAUCAUUCCUUCACAUAUAGCUUCACAUAAAACUCAUUCACAUCAUUCCUUCACAUAUAGCUUCACAUAAAACUCAUUCACAUCAUUCCUUCACAUAUAGCUUCACAUAAAACUCAUUCACAUCAUUCCUUCACAUAUAGCUUCACAUAAAACUCAUUCACAUCAUUCCUUCACAUAUAGCUUCACAUAAAACUCCCACCCUUUUCAAAGGCUAUAAGCCACAAUACUCAAUUCCAUGCCAAUUAUACAAUAUUAUCAAGUUUGAUAAACUUACCCUCUUUCCAUGGAAAUCUUAAUAAUCCUUAUAUUCCAACAAUUAACAAUACAAUAACAAUGAUAAUAACAACAUUCAACUAUACAAACUAAGCUAAGCAUAAGCCCAUAAUCAACAUGAAGACCAAUUCACAAUUUUGCCCAUUCAAGUCUAACAUCCCACAUCCUUCAAUUCAAUAACAAUUCUUAACAAUUCAACAUAGAUAAAUACAUACAUGAUAGCUCAUUAAAUCCCCAUGGAAGGGUGCCUUAGGCCUACCGAUUCUUCAUUAAACGCUACCUUAAGCCUACCGAUUCUUCAUUAAACGGUGCCUUAAGCCUACCGGUCCAAGGUUCAUCAUUUCACACAUGAGAAGGGCUACCACCAUUAGGUCUACCGAUUUCAUGGUUUUACAUUUACUUAGGAAAGCUAGACUUAUGAAAGGGCACCAUUUCUUAGUUUUGCCCAUUUCACACAUUCAUGCAUUCAAGACUUUAAGUAACAAGGAGGGACACUUUAGUCUACCAACCAAGUCACUACUCCUGGAUCAUCCUAAUCUAGGAGUUAUGACUUCUCAAAGUUGGCCAAAAACUCACUGAUUUCCCACACUUAACCAAAUUUCCAGAUUCUGAAUUUUUCCAAAAGUGACUACUUCCAAUUUCAAGCUUCUUCUUUUUCAUUUUAAAUUGUCGGAGUUACACAAUUAAUAUGAAAUUACAUAUAAACCCCUCAUAGAACCUCAUUAUAAAGUCAACACAAAGUCAUAGGCUAUUGCUUAACCUAUCAUUUUUCCGAGUCGUUACAGAUGUGUAUAGAUUACCGUCAAUUAAAUAAGGUUACCAUCAAGAAUAAGUAUCCUCUUCCUAGGAUAGAUGAUUUAUUUGAUCAACUUCAGGGUUCCACUUAUUUUUUGAAAAUUGACAUCAAAUUAGGCUACCAUCAGUUGAAAGUUAGGGAAUGUGACAUUCCAAAGACAACAUUCAGGACUAGNNNNNNNNNNNNNNNNNNNNNNNNNNNNNNNNNNNNNNNNNNNNNNNNNNNNNNNNNNNNNNNNNNNNNNNNNNNNNNNNNNNNNNNNNNNNNNNNNNNNNNNNNNNNNNNNNNNNNNNNNNNNNNNNNNNNNNNNNNNNNNNNNNNNNNNNNNNNNNNNNNNNNNNNNNNNNNNNNNNNNNNNNNNNNNNNNNNNNNNNNNNNNNNNNNNNNNNNNNNNNNNNNNNNNNNNNNUGUGAAUUUUUGCUUGAGUCUGUGGCAUUCUUGGGCCAUAUUAUUUCCGGUGAUGGUAUUAGAGUUGAUACUCAGAAAAUUGAGGCAGUGCAGAAUUGGCCUAGACCCACAUCUCCAACUGAUAUUAGGAGUUUCUUGGGCUUGGCUGGCUAUUAUAGGAGUUUUGUUGAGGGUUUCUCGUCUAUUUCGUCUCCUUCGACGAAGUUGACUCAGAAAACAGUGAAGUUUCAAUGGUCUGAAGCUUGUGAGAAAAGUUUUCAGGAAUUGAAGAAGAAGUUGACUAGUGCCCAGUUUUGACCUUACCGGAGGGUACUCAAGGUUUUGUGGUGUACUGUGAUGCAUCCAGAGUUGGUUUGGGUUGUGUGUUAAUGCAGAAUGGCAAGGUGAUAGCCUAUGCCUCCAGACAGUUGAAGGUUCAUGAGAAGAAUUAUCCAACCCAUGACUUAGAGUUGGCUGCAGUAGUUUUUGCCUUGAAGAUUUGGCGACAUUACUUGUAUGGUGUUCAUGUUGAUAUAUUCACUGAUCACAACAACUUGCAAUAUGUGUUCACUCAGAAAGAGCUCAAUCUCAGACAAAUGAGGGGUUGGAAUUACUCAAGGAUUAUGACAUGAGUAUUCUUUACCACCCAGGUAAGGCUAAUGUGGUUGUUGAUGCUUUAAGCAGGUUAUCUAUGGGUAGUACCACCCAUGUUGAGGAAGAAAAGAGGGAGUUAACCAAAGAUGUGCACAGACUUGCACGCCUGGGAGUCAGACUUAUGGAUUCCACAAAAGGAGGAAUAGUGGUGACGAACGGGGCAGAAUCAUCACUAGUGUCAGAAGUGAAAGAAAAGCAAAACCAAGACCCCAUUUUGCUUGACUUGAAGGCAAAUGUUCAAAAGCAAAGAGUAUUAGUUUUGAACAAGGGGGAGAUGGUGUGUUGAAAUACCAAGGUAGAUUGUGUGUACCAAUGGUGGAUAAACUCCAAGGGAGAAUCAUGGAGGAAGCUCAUAGCUCCAGAUAUUCCAUCCAUCCGGGUUCCACCAAAAUGUACCGUGAUUUAAGAGAAGUAUAUUGGUGGAAUGGUAUGAAAAAGGACAUUGUUGCAUUUGUUGCUAAGUGUCCAAAUUACCAACAAGUGAAAGUAGAGCACCAAAGGCCUAGUGGUUUGGCUCAAAAUAUAGAACUUCCAGAAUGGAAGUGGGAGAUGAUUAAUAUGGAAUUCAUCACAGGGUUACCAAGGUCUCGCAAGCAACAUGAUUCUAUUUGGGUGAUUGUCGACAGAAUGACAAAAUCAGCCUACUUUUUGCCGGUGAAGACUAACAACUCAGCAGAAGAUUAUGCUAAGCUUUAUAUUCAGGAAUUGGUAAGACUUUAUGGAGUUCCAAUCUCCAUUAUUUCAGAUAGAGGUGCACAAUUCUGGAAAUCUUUCCAGAAAGGUUUAGGCUCAAAGGUGAACUUGAGCACUGCCUUUCAUCCUCAAACUGAUGGGCAAGCAGAGCACACUAUUCAGACCUUAGAAGAUAUGUUGAGAGCUUGUGUGAUUGAUUUCAAGGGUAAUAGGGAUGAUCACCUACCUCUCAUUGAAUUCGCUUACAACAACAGUUAUCAUUCUAGCAUCCAGAUGGCUCCAUAUGAAGCUCUUUAUGGGAGAAGAUGCAGAUCUCCUAUUAGAUGGUUUGAAGUUGGUGAAGCAGGGUUGAUAGGACCAGAUUUAGUUCAUCAAGCUAUGGAGAAAGUGAGACUAAUUCAAGAGAGUUUGAAAACAGCACAGAGUCGUCAGAAAUCCUACACUGAUGUUAGGAGAAGGGCGUUAGAGUUCGAAGUAGAUGAUUGGGUAUAUUUGAAAGUUUCACCCAUGAAGGGUGUUAUGAGGUUUGGUAAGAAGGGGAAGCUUAGUCCCCGGUAUAUUGGACCUUAUCGCAUAUCUAAGAGGAUUGGAAGUGUAGCUUACGAGUUGGAGCUACCACAUGAAUUAGCGGCGGUUCAUCCGGUAAUUUCACAUCUCUAUGUUGAAGAAGUGCAUGGGAGAUCCUUCAUUGAUAGUGCAAACUGAAUAUGUUGGGAUUAAGGAUAAUUAUCUUAUGAGGAGAUUCCGGUCCAGAUUUUAGAUCGCCAAGUUUGCAAGUUGAGAACAAAGGAGGUCGCAUCAGUCAAAGUCCUUUGGAGGAACCAAUUUGUUGAGGAAGCUACUUGGGAAGCUAAAGAGGAUAUGAAGAAGAGAUAUCCACAUCUCUUUGAAUCCGGAAAAAUUCAGAUCAAGGUACUAAUCCUCUUCUUAGUACUAGCUAAAUUAUGAGUAUGCAUGUUGUUACCUGUUUUUGCUUGUUGAGUGUUGAACUUGAUGUUGCUACCCUAAGCUUAGUGAAAUAAAGCUCAUUCAAGGACGAAUGUUCCCAAGGGGGAGAUAUUGUAGCAUCUCGCACCUAGAAACAACUAUAAAGAGUUUAAAAUAUGAAAAUAUUGAUUUUUGGAAAGAAUAAGGAAGUCGGGAAAUUUUGUCUAAGUUAAGAAAGUGAGUUUUGGCCAUUUUCAAACGGCCAUAACUCCUAGCUCAGGAAUUGUUAGGAGCAGCUCUUGAUAUGUUUGGAAAUCCCUUGGAGAUAUCUUUCCAACGCCGCUAAGAUUGAACGAUUUUGACAUUGUAUGAUUGAGAUACUCCUUCCGGAAGUUGGGUUGUUGGAUCGAGGAAAGUUUCAAUCCGGAAUAAGGGAAGGGCAAAGUAGUCUUUUCCCUAAUUAAUUUCCUAAUUCAUUUUUAGGGAUUUAUACGGGUAAAAACAGAACUUAAUUCAGUUUGGGAAAAUUAGAAUACGCUUAGGGCUUGGAGAAGAGAGAAAGAAGAAAGAACGGGAGAAGAAGGCAAGAAUUAGCCAAGAUCAUUCAAGAUUUGCGAGUGGAAUUCGUCGGGGGUGAUCCCUAUUAAGGUAUGUGAGAUUUCUUUUGAGAUCUUUUCGUGUUGGGUUAGUUCACCCACACAUUAACUUGUUUCAAUUCAGCGAAAUUGGAGUUGUUUAAAUGUUAAGAAAGUGAAGUUAUUGAAGAACAUUAUUGAAUUCUUGUAGGUUGAUUGUUGAAUUCCUACUGAUUAAUUGAUUCAUGUUUUCGAGUUAUUUUGCGAGUUAGAUAGGUUGUAUAUUGAGGGUACAAUUGAUCCUAGGGGUUUGGAAAAAGUAUUAUGGAAGUUUGGAGGGUUUAGAGAUGAAAAACGGAAGAGAAAGGUCGAGAACACCUGGGUACAGGGGUUGGAGCGUUGUGCCUCUCAGCGCUCCCCAAAACGUUCUCUGAGGUUUGGCCUCUAGUGCGUCACCCCAACCAAAGCUCCCCACCCAGCUCUCUGAGGUUUGGGGCCUGGCGCCCCACGCCUCUCAGAGCGCCAGGGACGCUAGUUCUCCCCAUUCGUUCCCCACCUUCUCGUAAGUGUUCCUAAGUGAUGUACCUAUGUUUCCUAGUCGAUUCUAACAUUCUAAAAUACAUCUAAACAUCAUGAAAUCAUUCAUAAACAUGAGAUCAUGAACCUUGAAUCCAUAAUCCAAUUCAAGAAAAGUUAAGAUCUAAGUUAAGAGAGGUAAGAGUCAAGUCAAGAUGAGUUCUUAGAGUUUUCCAAAAGUCUUUUCCAAAUGUUUUAACUUUGUUUUAUGACUUAAAGUUCAAGUUGAGUAAAGAGUAAAGACUAAAGUUUGAAGUUCAUUUCUUCAAAAGUAUAUGGGGAAUAAGUAUUCCCAAAGAGAUUUAAAAUGUUUUCACAUUUAAAUAAGAACGAAAACUGAGAUUUCCAAAGAGCCUUCGGGCUAGUUUUCAUAAAAGAGUAAUCGUUUUCUAAAUGAAGAAAGAAGGGAAACUUUGAUUUCCAAGAUAUCCCUUGAGCUAAGUUUUUGAGCACUAAUCUCAAAUCACAGAAGAAGUAUGUUUUAAAAAACAUAAGAGCUAGUAUAUUUUGGGAGUAGUAUUUAGCACCGAAUUGGAGGAGCGUUCAAAGAACCCACAGCCCCCAUAGAACCAUGUAGCCAUCAUGGGUAGAAGAGGCUCAUACUUUUGAGAUGAAUCCUUUUCAAGAUAGACUAGUGGAUCCAUUAGGCAGUUCAGGUUCUAUACAUUUGGUCAGGUAUAGGAUGCUCAGGCAGUGUGACGUUGAUCGCUGUAUCAUCACUAUAACUCUUAUGUGAUGGUUGUCAGUUAGANNNNNNNNNNNNNNNNNNNNNNNNNNNNNNNNNNNNNNNNNNNNNNNNNNNNNUUGAGUGAGCCAGGUAAGUUAUUCAGUUUCUUUCAGAUUCCUUCUAGCCUAUGUGUGGUUUAGCAUUCCAACUCGCAUACUCGUACAUUCAAUCUACUGAUUCCAUUUGGCCUGCAUCUUAUUAUGAUGCAGACGCAGGUAACUAGGAUCAGCAUCCAGCACCUCGUUGAUCCAGUUGAGCAGCUCAGAGUCAGUGGUGAGCCUCAUUGCAUUCCGGAGGACUCUUUUAUUCGUUUUAAGUCUUUCAUUUAUUAGGAUGUUGUGGGGGUUUUCCCAACAUCCAUCUCAGUAUUUUAGAGGCUUCAUAGACAGUCAGAUAGUUAUUAGUUCAGAUGUCUUUCUUUAUCUUUCAGAUGUUGUUUAAGACUUAAGUGCCAAUUUGGCCAAAAUUAUUAUUCUUUAAGUUAUUAUUUGAGACUGUUUCAUUGAGUUAAGUCUUCCGCUGAGUUAAGUAAGCCAGGCCAAGGGUUUGCUUGGGGCUAGAAAUGGUCUCCUAGUGCCGGCCACGUCCAGGGUGUAGGCUCGGGGUGUGACAGUUCGAAUCAUGUUGUCUUCCAUGACUAAUGUAGUAACCCUAAAUGUGAUUGGUUAAAAGUGAUCAUUGAUCCAAGAUGGGUGAAACAUGAGACUAAUGCCUAAUUGUAGCUUCAUGUGUAUAUUUUAUGAACAUGAUUAUAAUCUAAGCUAUUAUGUCUGUUGAAUUGUAUGUGGUUUUAUUAUGGAAAGACUACACCAACAUGACCUAUAAUAUGAGUGUUUUAGAUCAUGCAUUUAAUGACUUGAUUACUUGAACUAUGAUUAUAUCCAUGUCUAAUAUAAUGAAUUCUAGAUGUGUCGAUUGAAUAAGGUCUUUAGUCCUUAAAGGAACAAUAUAUGAUAUUAUGCAUACUUGUGAAAGUGUGUUCAUGAUUUAAGACCAACUUUUGAUAAAGUAAAGUGAUCAUGACUUUGAUGUAAUUGUGGUGUUGUUGAAACUCUAUACUCACACACACACUUAUACAUGAUUAUUCAAUAAUUAUGAUGAUACUAUUGUGUUGAUUGAAAGUUUAUUCUCAUAAACAUAUAAUGAAUAUAAUAUGUAAGUUCUUCACACAUAUUGAAGAUUCUAGGUUGAAAGUCAGUUCUCACCUAAUUGAAUCUAACAAGAAGACAUAGACAGUGAAAGUACAUUCUCACGCAAGAUAUAAUGAGCUAUCCUAAUGAAACAAGUCAGGAUUCAGCAAAUACUUCAUGGGAAUUAUGCUUAGCCCCAAGUGGACAUUGAAAAUGAGAUAGAGGCUCUCCCGUUAAGAAAGGGCGAGUUUCUAAAGUUAAUCUCAUGAGAUGGAAGCUCCCCCGCUAAGAAAGAUUGGGUUUCUAAAAGCAAUCUCAUUAUCCCAUAACUACGUGCCCCCGUAGGUUAUUUAGCCAUUGGAUCUAUCUCCAAGCUAAUACUAUUUUAGUUCUACCUUAGGCAAGUAGGACACCCCUUUUCGGUGUGGGCAUACACCGGAUUCCAUGCAAGCUCACAUGGCCUAUGUCGGUUAAGGCUAAUUCCCACAAGGUCAAGUCUAAGAUGUACUAUGGCUAUUCAAGAAGUACUACUUAGUGUGGGUGGGGGUAUGAGACUUCAUCCAUGCAUUGCACAAGUAGGAUUUGAGAGUAGUUAUGGUAGGUUCCUUUUGUCAAGAUGACUCCUGUAAUGAAUGUGCUUGUGACUAAAUGGUAAUUGCAAUUGAUGUCAAGGCUACUUGUAAUGUUGUAUGUUAGCUUGGAUUGUUGCUAUGAGCUGGUUUCCUUUAUUUGGUUGACUAAAAUUGGUUAUUUCCUAGUCUAUGAGAGAUAGGUUAAGGAUGAGAUUAAAAGAUGGUAAACAUGAAUGAGGAUCUGAAGUGACUUGCUUAGUGUGGGUAGGAUUAUGGGAUCUUAUCCAUACAUUGCACAAGCUAGCCUUGAGGUGGCUCAUGAAGUGUCUCUCUUAUUUCAUACUAAAACUAGAUUGUAUUGACUAUGUAUAUGUUCCUAAUGAUAUUUCUUAUACUCACUAGUUGUGAUUGUUAUAUACCAAGCUAUAGUCUAUGUAUUAUCAUGAUGCCUCUUAUGCUUAUGACUUGUGUUUUCACACUAUCUUCAAAAUGAGGUUUUAAACUAGUAAAGUGCAUGUAUUCAACAAAAAUGUCCCUUUUAGCAUGCGUUCAAAGGUGUUUAUGCAUGACUAUCAUACUUAGUACAUUUUUGUGCUAACCUAUAUUUCUUCUACAUUUUUCACAAAGUGUAGGGCUUGGCGAUAUCGACUUCCAUCCUCGUGGCUAGGAUCAUAGUAGAUCAAGAAGAAGAAGUUUGUAAGUCCUCAUAGCAUUCGAGGGCUUGACCACUAUGUCCUAUAACUAUUUCAUUUUAUGUUUAGAGCUUUUGUAUGGGUUGCGUCCCAAACUUGUAGUCUUAAUGGUUAUAGAUGGUUUGAGACAAAGUGUAGACUCCCGCUUGUUUUUUUUAAAAGACUUUGAUUGUUUGGAUACAAGUUUUUUAAUUCCGUACCAUUUUCUAUUAUAUUAUGUUUUGAUAUGGUAUGAGGCUUGUAUUAGGCUUUUCAAAGUCUUGUACGCCGUGUCACAUCUAGGGGUUACUCUUGGGUCAUGAAAAACAUGGUAUCAGAGUACAAGAUUUUGGGAUGAUUAUAGGAUUGUCUCAAAUCACAUCUAGUAGAGUCUUGUUCAUAGUGUGAAGUGCACCACAUUUAUGAAUAGGAGGCUAUUGGAUGUUAGGAAAACUUCACUUCUUCAUUUUCUAAGUCGUGCCAUACAGUUUAACUCCAUAAGGUCGAUGUCCUAUUCCCUAUCUGAUGGUCUUCAGGAUAUGACCACUUGAAGGGCUCAUGCUACAAGGGUCGAGGGAGAAAAGGUUAGUAGUGAAGAAAAUUAUGGCUAUGUGACUAGAUGAGGCUUGAUAUGAUAGAUUUAGAGGAUAUCAUUUGGUAUAAAUGGGUUGCAUUAUGGUUAUGUGUGUUUGUUGGUAGAACCCGACUUAGUCAUUAUGAGUUUUAGGGUGUGUUGGAGGAUUUGAUUAAUAAUGGUGUUUAAGUGAUGCCUAGAGAUGUUGAGUGAGUAGACUCCUUUAAAGGAGGGUAGAAGUGUAAUUCUCCAUGGUUUAGAAUUACCUUGUAUGAUAGAUGUGAAGGAUUAGUGAUAACUUGCUCCAACCUUAGAAUUGAAAGAAAUGAGGCUUAGAAGAGUCUGUAUAGGCUUACUCCCAAGGGGGAGAUAAUGUGCUUAGAUAGCAAGGUCGUUGGGUGUUUUAGAUGUUCAUGAUUUAGAUUAGCUUGAAAUUUCUCACCUUGAGAGGUGUAGUGAGUUUGAAAAGUUUAGUCCCGGUUUGGUAGGCUCCUAUAAGAUCUUAAGAGGUGGUGGUAAGGUUGCUUGUGAACUAGAAUGCUUAAACGAGAAUCUCUUUAAUUUAGAAGUACCGGUAGAAGUCUUAGAUCGGCAAGUUAAGAAAUAGAAGAAUGAUGAAGUUGCUUUCAUAAAAGUGUGGAUGAGUGGUCUUUGUGUGAGGGUAGUAGGUGAGGGUGCUAUUUGUGAGGCCAAGGGCCAAUGAGAUGUGUUGAUAUCCUUAUCUUUCAUUCUAUUCCUCCUUCAACAUGAAAUGAUAAGUUUUCCUUGACUUGUUUUAUGAUUAUGGAGUCUAGGAUGUUGCAUAUGUUCCAUAAUUUCCUUGUAUUAUGCAUAUUCUUGAUGAAAUAAAUAUUUAGUAAGAAAAUUAGUUUUUAUGAUUGAAGUUCCUCAUGUUGUUGUGCAUUGGUAUGAGUUGCCUAUUUGACUUCAUGAGAUGCGUUAAUGAACAUGCUUUAGUAUGAUUUUGAGAGUAAUCGUAUAUUGGCUCCAUGAUGUUGUGUUGAGUAUUAUUUUAGUUGGAGAAGUUAGUUCCUCCUGUGCAAAUGAGAAAUAUUGAGUUUCGUACAUAUUAGGUUGUUAGAAGUAGUUUCUACUCCCUUGUGUUGCAUUAAUGAUGUUUUGAGAUGGAAUUGAUGUUUUCUCCUUUAAAUGAUGCAUUUUUUUGAUGUUUCAUGCAUGAUGGGCUCCUAGUCUUGAGUCUUUAAUUUCAUAAAGUGUUUAGAAAUGUCAUUCGAGGACGUAUGAUCCCAAGGGGGAGAUAUUGUAACACCCGAAAAAGUAGUAGGUGAAACUAGAGCCUUACGUGAGAGUUUUAGAGUUUGAUAUAUGGAUUAAUGUUGUAAAAUGGAUUCCCGUACUUAGGAUAAGGGGUUUAGGGGUUAAACGUCAAGAUAGGACUCCUCAAGGACCAACCAAGGGUCCUUAAAGAGGACCCUAAAGCCUAACCCCAAACUGCCCCAAAACAGCCCAAGUUGGUGACCUACGGAUGACACCUAUUGGGCCUAAGUCCAUCCACGCCCCAUGGGGGAGUCUCGUGGGUCAAAGGGAAAUUGGAGGAGCUGAAGAACCAAACCACGAAGGACCAGUAUGGUCCGUGGGUCUAUCCACGCCCCGUAAGUGGGGGUCAUGAUUGGGGUCCUGCAACCUGUCCAAGCUCGACCAAAGGUAAGUCUUUUUAGGUAGUUUCCCUUUUAGUUAUUUUUUUGUGGGGUCAUUUUAAUUUAUUUUAAUAGACCUAUAUAAGGGUUUUUAAACCAUUAACUAACCCUUAUACUUCAUAAAUCCCAAAACCCCAAAUCAUACCAACUUUAUCCCCAAAAAUAUUCUCUCUAGAACUCCAAGGAAGAUGAAGAAGAUCAAGUUAGGCCUGAAGAAGGAAGAUUUUUUAUUCGAAUUUAAUGGAUUUCUUCACCUAAGGUAUAGUAGUUUUUGAUUCAUGGAAUGCUUUCAUCCAUGAAGUCCUCAAUUUUAAAUUAGAAAAUUCUCCAAAACCUAGGGUUUUCACUCCAAGUCAUGGAUUCUUUCUAAAAAUGUUUUCAAUGAUUUAAUUAUCUUAAAUUAUUAUUGAAUUGGUGUUUUAUGGUGGUUUUAUGAUAAAGUGUCCCAUGAAUCCAUGAAUUACCCUAAUUUCUCAAAUUGGAUCUUAAAGUGUGGGUAUUGAUUGAUAUUAGUAGAAUGUUAUAGAAUCAUGAAUAUAAUGAAUUGAUUACUUGAAUUAUGUAUUAAUUGAGGAAUUUCUAUGGUUUUGAUAUUGAAUUUCCUCUAAGAGCCCAUGAACCCCCAUGUCCCCAAUUUGUGAAUUUGUGAUGUGGGUGAAUUGUGGUGAGAUGAACAUUAUGAGAUUUUGUUGUAUUAGUUGAGUUAUUUGAAUCAAGUUGUCUUCCAUGACUAAUGUAGUAACCCUAAAUGUGAUUGGUUGACAGUGAUCCUUGAUCCAAGAGGGGUAAAACAUGAGACUUAUGCCUAAUUGUGGCUUAUGUGUAUAUUUUAUGAACAUGAUUAUAAUCUAAGCUAUUCUGUCUGUUGAAUUGUAUGUGGUUUUAUUGUGGAAAUACACCACCAACAUGACCUAUAUUAUGAGUGUUUGAGAUCAUGCAUUUAAUGACUUGAUUACUUGAACUAUGAUUAUAUUCAUGUCUAAUAUAAUGAAUUCUAGAUGUGUCGAUUGAAUAGGGUAAUUGGUCCUUAGAGGGGCAAUAUAUGAUAUUAUGCAUGCUUGUGAAAGUGUGUUCAUGAUUUAAGACCAUCUUUUGAGAAAGUAAAGUGAUCAUGACUUUGAUGUAAUUGUGGUAUUGUUGAAAGUCUAUUCUCUCUCACACACACACUUAUACAUGAUUAUUCCAUGAUUAUGAUGAUACUAUUGUGUUGAUUGAAUGUUCAUUCUCAUAAACACAUAAUGAAUAUAAUGUCAAAGUUCUUCUCACAUAUUGAAGAUUCUAGGUUGAAAGUUGGUUCUCACCUAAUUGAAUCUAACAAGAAGACAUGGACAGUGAAAGUACAUUCUCACGCAUGAUCUAAUAAGCUAUCCUAAUGAAACAAGUCAGGAUUUAGUAAAUACUUCAUGGGAAUUAUGCUUAGCACUGAGUGGAUAUUGAAAAUGAGAUAGAGGCUCUCCCGUUAACAAAGGCCGGCUUUCUAAAGUUAAUCUCAUGAGAUGAAAGCUCCCCCGCUAAGAAAGGUUGGGUUUCUUGAAGCAACCUCAUUAUCCCAUACCUACGUUCCCCCGUAAGUUAUUUAGCCAUUGAAUCCUUAUCCAAGCUAAUACAUUUUAGUUCUACCUUAGGCAAGUAGGACACCCCUUUUCGGUGUGGGCAUACACCGAAUUCCAUGCAAGUUCACAUGGCCUAUGUCGGUUAAGGCUAAUUCCCACAAGGUCAAGUCUAAGAUGUACUAUGGCUAUUCAAGAAGUACUACUUAGUGUGGGUGGGGGUAUGGGACUUCAUCCACGCAUUGCACAAGUGGGCUUUGAGAGUAGUUAUGGUAGGUUCCUUUUGUCAAGAUGAUUCAUGUAAUGAAUGUGCUUGUGACUAAAUGGUAAUUGCAAUUGAUGUCAAGGCUACUUGUAAUGUUGUAUGUUAACUUGGAUUGUUGCUAUGAGUUGGUUUCCUUUAUUUGGUUGACUAAAAGUGGUUGUUUCCUAGUCUAUGAGAGAUAGGUUAAGGAUGAGAUUAAAAGAUGGUAAACAUGAAUGAGGAUAUGAAGUGACUUGCUUAGUGUGGGUAGGAUUAUGGGAUCUUAUCCAUAUAUUGCACAAGCUAGCCUUGAGGUGGCUCAUGAAGUGUCUCUCUUAUUUCAUACUAAAACUAGAUUGUAUUGACUAUGUAUAUGUUCCUAAUGAUAUUUCUUAUACUCACUAGUUGUGAUUUUUAUCUACCAUGUUAUAGUAUAUGUCUUACAAUGAUGGCUCUUAUGCUUAUGACUUGUGUUUUCACACUAUCUUCAAAAUGAGGGUUUAAACUACUAAAGUGCAUGCAUUCAACAAAAAUGUCCCUUUUAUCAUGUUUUCAAAGGUUUUUAUGCAUGACUAUCAUACUUAGUACAUUUUUGUGCUAACCCAUAUUUCUUCUUCAUUUUUCACAAAGUGUAGGGCUUGGCGAUAUCGACUUCCAUCCUUGUGGCUAGGAUCAUAGUAGAUCAAGAAGAAGAAGUUUGGUAAGUCCUCAUAGCAUUCGAGGGCUUGACCACUAUGUCCUUUAACUAUUUCAUUUUAUGUUUAGAGCUUUUGUAUGGGCUGCGUCCCAAACUUGUAGUCUUAAUGGCUAUAGAUGGUUUGAGACAAAGUGUAGACUCCCGCUUGUUUUUUUUUUAAAAGACUUCGAUUAUAUGGAUAAAAGUUUUAAAAUUCUACACCAUUUUCUUAUAUCUUAUGUUAUGAUAUGCUUUGAGGCUUGUAUGAGGUUUUUCGGAGUCUUGUACACCGUGUCACAUCUAAGGGGUACUCUUGGGUCGUCACAUAUUGCUUGUACAAUAUGUGAUUAGGGAGAAAAAAUAAUGAAUGUAAAAUGAUAUCUUGUUGUUAAUCAUAUGCAAUAAACUUGCCUUAACUACUUGUGGUCUUACAAGUGUGGUUGUAUUCAUUAUGAUUGUCAUUUAUGUGUUAUCUUUGAUUUCUGUCACGACCCAGACCGUCGUGAGUGACACCCACACUAACCCUCCGGUGGGAAAACCAAAACUACAGCCCAACUAAUCAAGUUAGCCAAAGUAAUACAUAUUUAAAGCUAUAAAAGCAGGUUUAAAUAACUAUAUAAUUUAUACGGAGUCCCCAUAAACUCUAAAGGUUUAAAUAAACUAGCCAAACUAAUGCAGAAGAACAACCCCUAGAACCUGAAAGUCAUUGUACUAAAACACUACUAAUGACAAGUCUAAGAACAAGGGGUACAACCCUGAAACUAAAACAACACCUUAAACAGAAGUAGGAGUCCGAAAAGAGUGGACUUAAACAAGAAAGAUCCAUGACAGCCUGAAAGAACUGGCUCACCCUUGAAUUCGAUCACGCUCAAUAGUCACCUAGCUGAGGUCUAUCAAUAGCCACAUGAAGAUGCCUUGUACUCAACAAAGAAAGAGCAAGUGCAGUAUCAGUACACAACCACAGUGUACUGGUAGGAUCACGCGGCUAUCCCAAUAAGUGAAACACAUGCAAGUAACCACAACAUUAUAAAAUAGGCAUAUACCAAACAUAUACAAUAUUAGUCAUCUUUUCACAAGUAGAUACACUACACAAUUCAAUGGUCCUCUCACGGAACUCAAUUCAAUGGUCCUCUCAUUGAACCCAAACUCAAACGGUUAGUAUACUGGUUCAUGGUACCCUAUCCAAUGUUUAUGCCGAAACGUAGCAACCGAUCCUAUAUUUAUGCCGGAACGUGGCAACCGAUCCAAGUUAGUGUGUCGGAACGUAACACCCGAUCCAUUCAACAAACCACAAUCACAUGCAUAAUGUAUAUUGUCACAAUCAUACAACAAGAGGUGAUUCAUGGCAUAUAAUUAUUCAAUUAUCCUCAUUUAUGAUUAGGGUGAUCAAUAAUGCAAUAUUCGCAUACAUACAUGUAUUAUAAUGAUAAAUUGCAAACAUAUAUCACACCAACAUGAAAUCACAACCAUCACCUACCUCGAAACAAGCUUGAAACCCUAAGAAACUUGAUCUUUCCCUUUGCGGAUUCGUUCCGCUUGUUCUUUGUCUACAAACAAUCAAUAUAAUACGGGAAUCAAUAAACAAUCACUAAUUACCCGAGUGAUCAACUAGGAAAGACUGGAUGAAGUAAGGGUAGAGUAGUAUCUGAAUCAUCGAAUUACUGGGGCUACUUGUCUCGCAUGUCCUUAGCGUCUGGACAUCACGAUCAAGAAUUUCAACCGGUUCUUCCUCAUACAAAAGGUCUUGUUUAACAAAACUGAGUCUCACUUUAUAAUAAUAUCUUCGUCCCCAAACCAACCUAUUGAAUACCUACACAUCCUCUCAUAUAAUGCCUCAAUGAAGUAACGACAAUACUCGAAUGAUAAUUAUUGUUGUAUGCACACUUAACUAACAACAAAGUUAUUCCCAAUAACCACCAAAGUUGAUCGUACACAUGUCUGCAACAUGUUAUCAAGGACCUUGACACAAACAUCAGGACGAAUCCUUUAUCACAUAACCAUGAUAAAAUCCAAAAUCAAAACUCGCCAUAAUUAGAGGUGAACCUAAACCAACCAGCACACACUUAUAAUACUCAAACAAUCAUAGUUCUUAUCAACAUCUCCUUCCCACAACAUAAAUUUCCAUGAGCUUAAGUUACAGAAAUUUGGUUUUUAUCCAUCAGAUACUCAUUGAAGGAUAUGUCCAAGCAUACAAACCCUCUAACAACACUAUCAAAAUGCUAGAUUUAGCAAUUGUGAUUGUAGAUUUUCCUUAAGAACAGUAGAAUUGGACCCAAUGAUCCUCAUAUUCAACCACAUAUAAUCGAUACAUGACCUCGACGACAAGAUGAAAUAUUAGAUUGUCGGGCAACCAUAAAUACGCAUGGUGCUCUUCUAUAAAAUCUCAUAAGCAAGGUGGUACAUGUAGAACCACUAAAAAUACUUUAACAACUCCAAGACAACACCAAUUAUGUCAUUCGAAAUAACCAAAUCUUCCCCAAUCUUCCCACUCAACCAAGAGAACAUCGCAGGAUUUGGUACUCCUGAUCCACCACUAGGGACCCACCCACAAAAAGUGAAAACACACGAGAGCAUAGCUAGUGAAUCAUACUCACAAUACUAACAACCAUCAUAAACACUCCGACCAUUUACCUCACUAUAAACUAACACUUUUAAAUAAAACUUUCUUAGGUACUUUAACAAUCAAAAGUAAUAAACUUUAUGACUCAAACCAUGUGUAAGUCCUUUCACAUGCUCAAUACCGGAUACAAUUGAUCAUUCUUCACCUUGUCAAUUCAUACCUUGACAAAAUAUAUUACCACGAAUGUAGACUUACAAUGAAAAAUCUGAAUUGUAAAUUCAACUGUAUAAUACAAUCCCCUUAUCUAUCAACAUUAGCUUGUACCUUGAAGAUUCUUAUGAAUUCAUAGAUCUUCAUUUAUCAUUGAUCGCAUCUCCAUCGAUCUUACAAUAUCCUUACGCUAAAAAUUCAAUCGUACUCAUUAAUAAACUCAAAAACAAAAAUAAGCACUUAUCAUCACGCUCAAGCUAAUGUCUACACAAUCCUUUCUCAAGUAAUUUUCAAUAAUUUUUAACCCAUCUGAUGGACCCAUGACACUAUUACUAUAGCCACAGCAAAACAAUGAAAUCACGUGUCUCUGAAUCCAAUUAUCUACACCUCUGGAGAUACCUCUUUAACCUUAAGAAUCCAAUAAAAAUAUUCUUGCUCUCGCCUCUCUCUAAAGGUUGUACUACAUUCUACUAUAUUUUCCUUCAUUAUAACUCUAGCUCUUUAACAUUCUAUUUGAGUGGUGUCCUACCAUCUCUUAUCAUUUUCCAUACACCCAUGUUACUCACCAAGUAUUAGAAAACCACAACCUUAGAUACUUGCAAGUCGUAAUUACAGUACAAAUUCCUCUUAACCAACAAUCUCAUUAAAUAUUUGCAUCCCGUCACAAUCCACGAUGAACUCUUAUUAUUGUUAUGCUCCGUUAGCCCUGGCUAUAACUACGAAGUCAACCUUUUCAUCAAUACGACACCUCAAACUUAGGUAUACUCAUCAAAUUCAAAGGACUAACCUAAUUUUUAUACGCACCUUCGUGCUAAAUACUUCAAUUUCCUUCACCUAGGUAUACUCAAUAGAACUUUCCUUAUCCAUAAGCUUGUCAUUUCGGUAUCAAUCCAUCCCUUUAUGGCUUAAGAUAAAAUCACCAAACCUCUUACUACCAUCCUUCUUCUUAACACACAAGACAGGAUCACCCCACAGGGAAACACUAGGACAGAUGAAACCUUUAUCAAGAAGCCCUUGGAUUUGAGCCUUAAGCUUUCUUAAUUCUGACACCACAGGAAUAGACUCAAUAGAGGGGAAUUCGACCUCAACAUCCCGAAUAUGAGACAAUCACGCCAAACAAUCUCGCCCCACUAGUUUUCUACCCCGCAUGAUAGAUAUGACCUUAGCUGACUUAGGCUUGUACCCCCUUCCCACUCUAACAUUUUCCUACCCGAGAUCUCUAGAGUUACCGACUUAGUAUUACAAUUAAGCCCGAUAUAAUAAGGGGAAAACCAAGUCAUGCCUAAGAUUAUAUCAAGUCAGUCAUAUUCAGCAUAACCAAAUCAAUCCAAAUCUGAAAAAAUCCAUAACCACAGCAGGACAACACGAUAUACAUGAGUGACUAUGACUAACUCUUCAACUAGGGUAGAAACAUGGAUGGGGGCAUCAAGUAUAUCACAAACCACAUCAAAUCCCGAGGCAAUUGAACUGGCACAUACGAAUAAGUAGAACCCGGAUCAAAUAAAACAAUAGUCAUCCAGGCACAGACAAGAGUAGCACUUGUGACCACUGCAUCACACCCUCAAACUCGGUCUUACCCAGAAAAACAUAAAACUGACCCCUGUCAUCUUGACGGGCAACCUUUUUGCCUGGCUGCGCUACUUCUCUACAUGCGUUACCGUUUCCCCAGCCUCCACGGCCUUACUGAUUUCCUCCUCAUAUGCCCAGGUUCUCCACAAUUUUAACACACCUUUAACUUAUAUUCGAUUGCUGAACACUGAAUUAGAUCGCGGGGGUUAGUUUGGGUAUGAUUCGGGGUCCAUAAUUAUGACUAGGGGAAAACAGAGGAGACAAGGCUGAGUUUUUGUCUCGCCCUGUCCCGCUCUAGCGAGAGAAAUCCUGCAAUGGCAGUCUCGCCGUGACGGGGAAAAUCCUGCCCCAGUGGCCCUGACGGAAACAGUACCCCUGCCAACAAUUUCUAGGGUUCCUCUCUUUUCUAUAUUUCCCCUAGACUUCCCACCUAUAACUAGGCAUUUAAGAAAAUCCCUUUAGCUAGGACAAUCGUUGUCUACCCCCCCCCCGGUCAACCCAACGAAGUACGCACUUUAGAAUCCUUUUACAUCGUUUCAACACUACCACACACAUAUCCCCAAGAUAUAUCCAAACUCUCACACAAUUAUCAGUUGGUCGCAACGCACGUUCAGAUUUCUCACUUAAGAACCACAUCGUAAUUUAUCUAGACCCUUGCACCUAAUCUCGUGAUGACUUUCUUUUCACAAUAAGUUUCACGACACUCAAGCAGUUUCAACUUGCAGACAAGUCCAAAUUCUUUAAUUAGUUUGUUCCAUAGACGACCAUUAUUAGUCAUUUAUGCCUUAUACGGCCAUAAGGCCAAAUAUCAAUUGGAACUUUCUCAUUUCCAAUUAACUUGCUUGUGUCCCUUCAGCCGGGACUACGACGUCUAGUUCACUUCGUUGACAUACCAAUUGGAAUCGGGAGAUACCAAUUGGACUCAACUCAUACCACAACAUUCAAUAGUAGCUAGCGAGCCCCAUAAAACUGUUAAUUUCAAUUAUAGAACUUGGUCAAACCCAAUUCUUAACCGCCUCAAUCUUUAACUGAUGGUAACCAGACCUUAAAUCAAUCUUAGAGAAAACCGAUGCACCUUGCAAUUGGUCAAAAAGGUCAUCUAUCUGAGGCAAUGUAUACUUGUUUUGAAUGGCGACCCUAUUCAACUGUUGGUAGUCUAUACACAUCCUCUCUUGCUAGUGAUGGUGUUACCACUUUUGUUGCUCUAGUUCGGACCAUAGAGUGAAGGAGGAAAGAUUCCAAUUUGUAUCACCAGAUACCAAUUGGAUUCAAGUCAUAGCAUGAAUGAGUAGAAAGAAGUGAGUUUUUCCUAAAGUCCUAUAGCCUCUCGAAGAAAAGUAUGGACGUCGUCGUACAGUUUCGCAAGACUCUACUAGACUCAUUUUCAUACAAUAAGAUCAACGAACCAAGUGCUCUGAUACCAACUUUGUCACGACCCAGACCGUCGUGAGUGGCACUCAUACUAACCCUCCAGUGGGAGAACCAAAACUACAGCCCAACUAAUAAACUUAGCCAAAGUAAUACACAUUUAAAGCUGUAGAAGCAAGUUUAAAUAACUAUAUAAUUAAUACGGAGUCCCCAUAAACUCUAAAGGUUUAAAUAAACUAGCCAAAUUAAUGCGGAAGAACAACCCCUAGAACCUGAAAGUCAUUGUACCAAAACUCUACUAACAACAAGUCUAAGAACAGGGGGUACAACCCCGAAACUAAACAACACCUUAAACAAAAGUUGGAGUCCGAAAAGAGUGGACUUAAACAACAAAGAUCCAUGGCAGCCUGAAAGAACUGGCUCACCCUUGAAUUCGGUCACGCUCAAUAGUCACCUAGUCAAGGUCUAUCAAUAGCCACCUGAAGAUGCCCUAUACUCAACAAAGAAAGAGCAAGUGCAGUAUCAGUACACAACCACAGUGUACUGGUAGGAUCACGCGGCUAUCCCAAUAAGUGAAACACAUGCAAGUAACCACAUUAUUAUAAAAUAGGCAUAUACCAAACAUAUACAAUAUUAGUCUAUCUUUACAGGAUCAAUGUAGCAUUCCACGUUCUCAAUAAUACACAUUGGUUAUCAUUUUAGAGCAACAUACAGUCUUUCAAUAUCAAUCAUCAUUAAAUAUAAACAUAAUCAUCACAAGUAGAUACACAACAAAAUUCAAUGGUCCUCUCACGGAACUCAAUUCAAUGAUCCUCUCAUAGAACCCAAACCCAAACCGUUAGUAUACCGAUUCGUGGUACUCGAUCCAAUGUUUAUGCCGAAAUGUGGCAACCGAUCCCAUAUUUAUGCCGGAAUGUAGCAACCGAUCCAAGUUAGUGUGUCGGAACGUAACACCCGAUCCAUUCAACAAACCACAAUCACAAUAUAUAUUCUCACAAUCAUACAACAAGAGGUGAUUCAUGGCAUACAAUUAUACAAUUAUCCUCAUUUACGAUUAGGGUGAUCAAUAAUGCAACAUCCGCAUACAUACAUGUACUAUAAUGAGCAAUUACAAACAUAUAUCACACCAACAUGAAAUCACAACCAUCACCUACCUCGAAACAAGCUUGAAACCCUAAGAAACUUGAUCCUUCCCUUUCCGGAUUCGUUUCGCUUGUUCUUGGUCUACAAAUAAUCAAUAUAAUACGAGAAUCAAUAAACAAUCACUAAUUACCCAGAUUACUAACAAUUCUAACAACCCUAGAUCAUACCCAUGAUCCCACUACCCAUGUUAGGGCUUUUUUCACAAUAAGUUCCAGAUCAAAACCUUCCCCCAUUGAUAAUUACCCAUUAGAUUAUGUUCUACGGAUCGAAAAAAGGAUUCAGGGAGAUAAAAUCUUACCUUUAGCCUCAAGAAUGGUGGAAAACUGUCAAGAAAAGACCUGGAUUUGUUCCUUAGCUCUCAAAUAGCAGAAUAAAACAUUUUUGGACUUUUAUUUCCGACUUAAGACGCGUCUGUCCCGCUACGGCUGGACCCAUCCCGCUAGGGCAGGACCCAUCCCACUACGGCGGGACCCAUCCCGCUACAGCGGCAGCCAUCCCGCUAUGGCGGCAUGCACGGAGACAGAAUGUUGGAAUUUGAAUUCCAAGCCCCCAUUUCACAACACACCUUCAACCUUUGACAUUUAAAAACCACCCGUUCACGCUAAGAUCAUUUUUGGGAGUUCUACUCGCCCGAAUUCAAUUCCGUAAAGUCGUACGGAUUUAUUAAUGUCUUAGCUAUCUACUCAUGUGAUCAAAAUCAUAAUUAGAUCACCCAAUUACUACCAUAUUUCCCUAGACCUUACGGACUCUAAUUUCAUCCAAAUUUGGACUAGGCUAGGAAAUUCUAAGUUACUACCAAAAUGUUUUCUGACCCCAAUUCUUUCCCCAUUGGAUUUUCUCUAACAACGGAAUCAGGUCGUUACAAUUUCGGUUGGCUCGGGAAAAACACCUAGUAUAGAUUAUCGAUUUACUUAGGUAUAACGCUUGGUACUGGGAAUCUAAUGGUUGGCUCGAGUACCAUGCCUGGUACAAGUUUCAUUAUUGUUGGCUUAUGUACCAUGCCUGGUAUAUGGUUGAUUGAUUUGUUGUGUGUUGGUUCCAUGAUUGAACCGGGCUUAUUCAAUUGUGGUGAUGCUGGACAUGUUUCAGGUAGUGGUUAAGUCAUGUUGAUGACUGAGAGCCUUGUGUAUGUUCACUGACAUGAGUUACCUAUGUAUUGUCCUAGUUUACUGUGUUACAGUUGCUUGUUCAUAUUUUAUAAAUCGGGAGCUAUAUUAUGAUCCUACCGUUAUACUAUCAUUUUUAUGUACUGAUACUACACUAGUUCAUUUUUUGUUGAUUACAAGACAUAUUCUGGUGAUAACUAUGCAAUCUCACAUGUGAAUCCCAUGUUCCCUGCAUCCAAGGGUGAGAUGCUUCUUUCAGGUUGUUAUGGAUUUAUACUCUCUUUCUCGUUCACCAUUUGAACUUAGACUCCUUUAAUUUUGGGGUUGCAUCCCUGUAAUCUAGAUUAUGUAGAUGUUCUGGUAACACGACUUUAGAUUCUAGGGGAAAUAUUUCUGAAAACAUUUUUUUAUAACGAUUUUAGUUAAGAAACUUUUUUUAAUUGAUGAAACUGUUAUUUAGAUAUUUAAUUGUUUCUGGGUUGGCUUGAGUAAUUGGUUCUCCCACUGGAAUUUAGUGUGGGUGCCUUUCACGAUGGUUUAGGUUGUGAAAUGUACCAUAACAUAAAAUCAUACGUUUUUUAUUUUUCAGAAAUAGUAUUUUUCUAAUUUCCCUCCAUGAAGAAGACUAACAAAUUAAAAUGGAGGGAGUAAGGGUUAAGACGAAUUCAAUAUACUCUCUCAAAAUGCGAUUAUAUAUUUGUAUACAAAAUAUUUAAAGUAAAAUAAAUUAAAAAUAUGUAUGUGCGUGUGAAAUUUAAUACAGUGGAAUUCUAGAUAUGCCCUCUCACCAAUGAAAUUUUCCGUACCUAAAUAUAAUACUUUUUGAUUUAACCCCAUUCAAUAACAUUUAUUAUACCUAAUUAAUACAAUUAGCUAUUCGGUAAUUAAAGCUUGAAAAUUAAUUUACAGACAGAGUAGAAUUAAGUUCUGAGCACUAUAAAUAAGACCUUUAGGAUCGCUUAAUGUUAUAUUCAUUUUUAAGCACUUUCAACUGAUCUUCUGUCAAGUCUUCGCUCUUCGAUUUUCUAUUAUUUUAUCGAUUUCAAAAUGUAAGAUAAUUUCUUUCUCAAUUGUUUGUAUGUAAUUUGGAGCAUUAUAAUAUCACUGUCAAUUUUCAACACCAACUACCUUUAAGACCACCCACCACCCUUAUUCACCACGGAUACUGCACGACUAGUGCACAACUCUUCAAAAUUCAUGAUCGUUAUCAAUAACUGCCCACUAUCAUCAUCACUGAUCAUCGUAAUAAGACAAUCCUACUUUUGACUAUACCUCUUAGGUAAUAGUCCCGACCAACAAAAUUUUGAAACAAAACAACAACAAAAAUUGUUUUAAAUAGUUAACAUAAUAUUAUUAGGCACGUGCACAACAUGUGCUAUCCUUUACUAGCUUGCAUAUACAUGGAAAAGUUUUGCAUAUACAUUUUGGUAGCAUCGCGACCUUUUAUUUUUUGUUAUUAUAAUAUACUAGUAUACAUACUCGCGCGUUGCGCGAAUAUUAUAAGAUAUAAUGAUUUUUAAAAUUUAAAAGUAACUAAAUACAAAUUAUUAUUUAGUAACAAACGUACAUGUAUAAUCAUAAAUAAUGUUUUAAUUAUACAUAAAAAAAAUAAUGCUAAUAAAAUUUUACCCUAAUUUACGUGUAAUGGGAGUAUAUUCUUCAAAGACACUAAACAGUGUUCUACAACUUCUGCUUUUUCUAGUAUAAUGAAGAUUAAUAGCAUAUGUGGCGUGUGUUGAAUUGAUAUUUGUGCUAAUUAAUUAAAUUUUAUGUUCAUAGAUCAAUCUAAAACCUAGUAUUAAAAAUAUUAACUCUACUUUUAGCUAAAAAUCUAAAUAUAAUUUACAAAGCAUGUUGCAACCUUUUUAGUACACUCUUCUCUUGUUCUAUCCUGCAAAGUAAGAUGAUUUUCAUUUAAUCAGAUAUAAUAUCAUUAAAUAAAGAUGUACAAAAUAAUGAAUUUCCGUGAUAUAUUAAAAAAAGAUACUAUAAUUAAAUUAAUAUAUACCACAUAAAAAUAAAUUAUCCAAUUAAUAUAUACCACAUAAAAAUAAAUUAUUACAGAGAAAAAUAAAAAUUGAAAGAUGAACAAAACUGAUGAUCUUCUAUUCCUUUGAUUUACUAUUAAUCUUUCUUUUAUUUUAUGGAUUUUAAGAUUUGUUUAGCCUUUCUAAAUAUGUUGUAAAUUUUAUUCUUUAUUAAAUACGUUUAACUUAACAAUAACAAAUAAUUUUAGGAUUUAACAUUAAAAAAUUUAAACGAAUUGUAUAUAAAUAAUUAAUAUAUUAUUUUUAAUAUUUAAUUGGAUAAAGUUUAUAAGUUAUAAGCACCACCAAGUAUAACAUGAAAAUAAAUAUGACAAAUCAUUUCAAAUCAAUUCUAAUUCAAAAUUUCGAAAGCAAUAAUAUCAAUUAUUAUCUUAGAUUUAAAUACAUGAAGAGAGAUUUUAUAUGAUGGAAUGAAAAUUUUAAAAUGAUAAAAAAAAUAAAGUUUAUGAAAAAAUGAAAUAACACUUUGCAUCAUCAUCCAUUUUUGAAAAUCUUCUCAAUAUGUUACGGUUCUAAAGAAAUAAAAACUACACCACAAAUUUAAAUUUUAUUGUUUAACUGUUCCUUUAUAAAUAUUUUCUUUUUCUUCUCUUUUCGUUAAUUGUUUUAUUUUUAUUUUAUUUUGCAUCAUGAAAUUCUUUAAUUUAUUUUCUAAUCAAAUAGUGAUGCUUUUUGUUUUUUAUAAUAUUUUUUUUUUUUGAAAAAGUUCUGCGUCCAAAAAGAAAAUUAGAUUUUAAUAGUUUAAAAGAAUCCAAUUUGUAAAAUAGUAAAAAAUAAUUCUUUUUAAAAAACCUUUAAAGCAAGGAUUUACUAUUUUUCUUUUUCCAAUAUUACUUUUUUUUUAAAUGUCAGCAACCAAAAAAAUAUUUAUAAGCGAUUUUUUUAUCUGUAAUUAUUUUAAUUGUCUUUGUUAAAAUUUAUUCAAACCGAAAGUUUUAAAAUUAUGACAUGUUUCUAUUUUCAAUUUUUUUAAUUAUAAAAUACAGAUCUGUAGUAUUUUAAUAAUUUAUUUUUAAAAAAAAAGUUGUUGUCUCUGGUCCUAUGACUACAAUUUGUUGAAAAAAUAAAAUAAAGAUAAAUAAAAGAGGAUUCAAACAUGAAACAGAUAAAUAAAAUUAAAAACAAACACGAUAUUUAUUAUGAAAUUAUCAAACAAUUAAUUGGAAAGUAAAAUUAUUAUGAAAAAGUAAAAUUCAAACAAUUAACUGGCAAGUUUAUCAUGCACAGUUGUAUUCUACAUAAGAUUGACCAUUGUUGUAUAAUAUUUCAUUCCCAUUAAUAUAACAAUAUACUAUUUUGAAUUAGUUUCAUCUUUAGACCUUGUUUUAAAUUUAAAAUAGACCCCACAUAUUCUUGAUUUACUUCUUGAUAACAUGACUCAACCAAAUAUAAAAAAAGUAAUUAGAAGCACUCACAUAUACACAGUUUGAAUGGAAACAUGUCCUGUGACAAACAAUCUUUUUUUUGUUCAUCUCAUUCAUGUCAAAUUGGCCUUCAAUAGAAAUCUUGAAUUUCAGAUAGAAAAAAAUAUCUAAACGUCAAAGUAAACUUGAAAGAAAGAGGCAAUGCCGUAUAAUUAAUUGGAACAAUAUGGGAGGAAAAACUAUAAAGAUACAUUUACAAUUAAACACUCUAUGUCUGUAGAAUUACCUUGGUUACAUUCAUUUUGCGUUUUGAGAAGUUCCAAGAAGCCUUCUUAAUAACAUUCACCUCUGCUAGUCACCUCUAUUUCAUGUUGAAAGUUGCACGAACAUUGAUGUAGUUAAUUAACUAAAAAGAAAAAAGAUUUCGUUGAGUUCAUGAUAAAAUUAAAAAAUUGUAGUUCCCUUGAAUUUAAAAGGAAAUUUUAAAUUUGAAAAUUCAUACAAUAAUGAGGGAAGUUGUAACGUCUCCAAAACUGCAAAUAUCAAUUGAAAUUUUAAGUGUUCAUCUUUCAAAAAAAAUUCCAUAAAACCAUUUAAAUAUUAAAAAAAUUAUUUUUUAACUCAAAUUAAAAUGCAGAUAACUUUCUAUGACAUAAAUUUAUUAGGAUAAAAAUAUAUAGAAAAAUUGUUACUUUUUCCAAAUAAUUUGGAUUAAUGAUACGCUGAUAAGAGUAUUUUUAACGUGUGUUUGUGGUUCCUAUUUAUACGGUUUUUGUGGUUGUGCUGUCGAAGUAGUUCUUUUUGGCACGGUUAUUGUGAAAAUCCAGAAAUAUAAUAUUUUUAAAACUAUUUUUUUUUUAAAAUGAAAAUUAGAUAGAUAAUUAUUUUGGUGUUGACAUUUGGCGAUAUAUUACAACUAGUGAACUUAGCCGUGCUUCGCGUGAUCAUAAAUAGCUCGUUAAUUAAAUUCGCCAAAUAACUAAUUUUUAGAAUAGUUGAGUACUACAAAUAUUCUAAAGAUUCUUUGUAGUGUUUAAUUUAACUUUCGAAUAUAUAUAGUUGAUAUCAUAAAAAUAAAAAUCUUUGUUUAAAGGAACAAAAAAUAGAAAUUAAAAAAAAAAACAUCAUUUUCCGUACAAAAACAUUUAUUAAAUAUAUUUAAAUUAAGCUUAUGUAUAUUUCAGAAUAAAAAAAUUAUGUGUAGACAAACAUAUCCAUAAAGAGUUCAACUUAUUAAAUUAAACUUAGGAAAAAAGGUCUGAAAUAUAUUCGAACUUUGAUCAAAAUUGUUGUAACAAUACCGAACUUUGGAAAGGACCUUUUACCCCCUGCACUAUUUAAUAAUGUAUUUUAAAGGUAUAUAUGUGCCCACGUGGACACGUUACUAUUUAUAAUAUUGCAAUAUUUAUGAUGUCCACGUGGACAUAUAUAUACCUUUAAAAUACAUUAUUAAAUAGUGCAGGGGGUAAAAGGUCCUUUCCAAAGUUCGGUAUUGUUACAACAAUUUUGAUCAAAGUUCGAAUAUAUUUCAGACCUUUUUUCCUAAGUUUAAUUUAAUAAGUUGAACUCUUUAUGGAUAUGCUUGUCUACACAUAAUUUUUUUAUUCUGAAAUAUACAUAAGCUUAAUUUAAAUAUAUUUAAUAAAUGUUUUUGUACGGAAAAUGAUGUUUUUUUUUUUAAUUUCUAUUUUUUGUUCCUUUAAACAAAGAUUUUUAUUUUUAUGAUAUCAACUAUAUAUAUUCGAAAGUUAUUGUUCUUUUGUUUAGUAAUAAUUAGAUUUUUUUUCAUCUUUCACUAAUUUUAGCUUAUGAAAUAUUUGUAAAUCAUUUUCUAUCUUGACUAAUUUUUACUACAAUUAUAAUAUACUACCUAUUAUUUAUAUAAAAAUGAAUAGAUCGAAAGAUACAUAAUCUCAAUUACGCAAAGAAUAUAAAGUAUUCAAAUAAAUUAAACUCAAACUAUUUAUAUGUAUUAACUAAAAAUACUCCUUUAAAUUUAUCUAUAUUUUAGUUAAUAUUUCUAAAUUAUUCUAAAAAGUAAACAUAAACAAAUCCUAAUUCUCAAAAUUGAUUUCAUUAUUCACAAUUUUUUCAUUAGAACAAAAGAAUUAACUUUUGUGAAGAAAAAAAUAUAUAUAUUGAAACAAUAAAAAAAAUCUUGAAGGAUAAUGAACAAAACGAUUCAAGCCUUCAAAGUUAAAAAUAAUUUACCUGAAAUUUCAAAAAUAUUAUUUAGUGUACGAAUAAAUUAAAUUUAAAUAAAUAAAUAAAUGAAUCUUUGUUGGAGUACCAAAGAAAAUUAGAAUAAAUUAAAAUAAAACAAAUAAAUAAAAGAAUCUUUGUAGGAAUACUUAAGAAAAUUAUCCUAGCCUCUAAUAUAAGAUUAAUGGACAAAAACAAUAAUGUAGGGGUUCCUUUUCCUAGUGGGUUCAUCAAACUUAAACUUAAAUCCCCAAAUACUGUUAUAUGUUCAUCUUAUCUUUCACUAUAAACAAUAAAGAUUAUUUACAAAAAAUAUAUAUGCAUAGAAUAAUAAGUACAGUAAAAUCACCAAUAAUGAGGAAAAAAGCAACAAAACAAAAAAAAAAAAAAAAAAGGAAUACGGUAAAUAAAAGAGAUCAAACAAGCUGAAAUGAAAAGAGUAACAUGAGUGAAAUAUUGUACUCACCAAGAUUGAAUUUGAAUUUGGAUUUGAAUUACCAAAAUUGUCAUAUACUCAUCUUAUCUUCUGGUAAACAAUAGAAAUUAGUCAUAAAUAAUCUAUAUAUUAUAAAAUUAGACACAAUCAAAGUGAUGCAAUUUGGUAACAUAAAUUAGAUAUUGUACUCGUCAAGAUUGAAUUUUGUAUUCCCAAAAUUGUCAUAUGCUCAUCUUAUAAACAAUAGAAGUUAGUCACAAAUAAUUUAUAAUUCUAUAUAUUAUAAAAUUAAACAUAACCAAAGUGAUGUACUUUAGUAUAAAUAUAAUGAAGAAAGGAAAAGAGAAGAAGAAAUUCUUACAUUGGUGAAGAUGACAUGCUCUAGUAUUUGUAGUAAUCAAUAAACUUUUAACUAUUGAAUAAUAUAAAUUAAAAGAGUAAUGUAGUAAUCAACACAAUUGUAACUUAUAUUGGUAAUUAGUGUCUUAAUUGUAAUUUAGUAAUACUUUUAAGAAGGAAUAGAGAAAGGUUUUAGGAAAAAGUGAUUAAUGGUGUUAAAUGGUGAACAAAAUAAAUAAAAUUAUCUUUAAUUUCUACAAAAUAUUUAGGCAAGAAAAUAAGGAAAAAGACACAAAAUCUAGUGAGAAAAAAAGCGAGGAUGAGUUGAAAACGUAUAAAGGAGUAAUGGUUAGAAAUUAAGCAAGGAGAAGACAUGGUGACCUUUUGCAAUUCUUCAAUAAUAUAUAGAAUAAUUAACAAUUAAUGUAAUAGCUUAUUAUAGACAAUAAAGUAAUAUGGUCAUUAAAAAAAUUAAUGGAACUUCAUAAAUAAGAUGGAAUAUGGUUAAUAUUUUGAUUUAAAAAUAAGAUAAAAUAUAUAUAAAAAAAAGAAAAAGAAAAAUAGCAAUGGAGGCCUUAGAGAGGUGCCACAUCACCUUUUCUACAUUUGACUUUAUAUUAUAUAUAGAUAUAGAUAUAGAUUGUAAAGGUGUUGACAUUUAAAUAAUUUUAGUUUUACAAAUUUGUUUAGACUUAAAACACCCUAUUUAGUUUGGAUAAUUACUUUUUUUUUCAAAAUAAAAAUUAAAGCGCACUAUUUAGUUGGAUGUUUUUAAAUUUAUUAUUAUUAUUAUUAGUAGUUCGAUUUUUUUAUCGGUAAAGAUAGAACAUAUAGAUUAUAGGUUGUGCUUUUAUUAAAACAAUAAUGAUAAUAAUAAUAAUUUAUUAUUAUGUGAAAACUUCUUUAAAAUUGUUUUUAAAUAAAAAAAAGUAUUUUAUUAAUUGUGAUAUAUAUAUAUGAAAAAGUAGCAAACUAAAAUGAGUGAUUAAUUAUGAAUAGGACACGUGUUUGUUUCAAAUUUUCAUUUGACACCUGUCAAUAGUUGGUUUAAUUAAUUGUUAUUUUAAUUAUUAAAAUGAGUGAUUAAUUGUACAUUGUAUUUAGGUUGUUAUCUAUUUUGAUGUGUUGUCUGGGCUUUUAUCUUAUUGGCCAUUAAACACGUCAAGAACAUGUUGCUUCUCUGCUAUUCUCACUUGAAACUUUGUGAUUCACACUGAAAGAGUGUCGCUUCAGGCUUGAAAUGUCUCCCACGCUUUUUCAACACUACAUCUGUCUGUUUUAAUUUGUAUAUUGUAACACCUUGUUGCUAAUGUGAUGACUUUUUACAGAUACCUGAUGCCAUCAACGUGUUUGUCGAAAUUCCUAUACUUGUGUGCCCAAGAGUUGUUCUGCUUCAGAGGAAAAAGUCUCAGCAUUAAGAUACAUUUCGAGGAAACUAUUUUGGUACGUCCAGAUAAAAUUUUGACAUUCAACAAGGUACCAUUGUUUUCUGAAAAUAAUCUUUGAAUCUCUUUUGUUUUCUCACAAGAUUGAGAUUAAAGAGCAAGGGGAUCGUGAAAUUACUUGAGAUUAAGAGGAAUCUACACUUUUCUAGAGAGUGAAGUAGCUUCAUCGAAAAUCAAUGUUGAAAUGAGUUCAUGGUUGCACUUGACACUUCUCUAAAAAGAUGUUGCCAUCUUUCUUUGUUUUCUUUUAAGAAAGUUACAUCGUAGUUCACAUAGGAAGUAGUUGAUAAUCAACUGAUGUUACUGAAAAAUAAAUUUGGGGAGCUGAGAAAACUAUAUAUUGCUACUUGAUGCAUCUACGAGUAGAUUUUUCGGGUCCUUUAUGUAUAUAAUUUAGCGGCUUAUGAUGCUCCAUUUUGAUAAUAUUAUCUAUCAUAUCCCGAAGAUUCACAUAAGAUAUUAUGACCAACAAUGAAUUGUUCGGACAUUCAAAUUAAUGGAACUCCAAGUUCCUUUGUCAUCAACUAUAAAAAGAAAGGGGAAAAAGUUUUAAAAUGUAUUAUGUGUGAUAUCUUUUUCAAUUAGUAAUUUUCAACAGAAAAAAGGGAAGAUAAAUCUUUAUAUGUUUGAGACUUCUGCUUUGAGUUGAUUUAUUUUUCCUCUGAGAUUUUUCAACUUCCAG